AAAAAAUAAAAAGGAAAUAAGUUCAGUGCCUGUCGUUAGCUUGCUCCCUUUCUCAGCCUCUCCUCCACUUCCUCACGCACCCUCUUGCUCUGAGCCUAUUAUCCUGGUCCCUCCUUCACACUGCCACAUCUUUGCAUAGGCUGUUCUCUUUGCCUGGAAUGCCAUUCUCAUUUGUUGCUUGGCAGAACUGAACUCAUUCUCCUUCUAGGCUCUGCUCAAGGGUUUCCUCUUCUUUGUGUCCAAAGUCACCACAUAGCUUCUAAGUGAUGGGACUGAGAUUUGAAGCCAGGUCAUCUGUCUUUCAGGCCAGCCCUCUUUCCACUACCCUAUGCUACCCAAAUAGGAAGCGUAAAAGAGAAGUAGGAGAGAAAAAGUUAGAAACCUGGAGAGAACUUAGGUAUUUGGUAAACAGGAAAAAGAAAGUGGAAAGAAGAGAUCAUUUGAAGGACUUCCUCAACUUAACAACUAUUUGCCUAUGGCAUUAUUUUAUUGCAUUUGGUGUAUGAUACUAUCUCAAAAGCAUUUUGUAAACUUGCCAGUGGCUUACAUUUUUGCCGGAUGAAUGACAUGACUAACGAUCCGUGCUACAUUACCUCAGUGUCUAGUUUGUCAUUUUGAAUCAAGUGGACAUUUUCUGUAAGUGAAUCAUUUUCACUUGCUCAUGAUAUAAUGAGAAUUCCUUACCUUUGGCUUAAAAUGAGGCUUAUGUUAUAACAGUUAAGCAUUGUCUAGUUGCAUAUUUAACAUAGUCAGAAUGCUCCUGCCUGUAUUCAGCCUGGUGUCUUAUAAUAUUUGGUAUGCCCACCUAGAUAGCAAUUGGUAACAUCUUUAUUCUGAGACUCUUUCAUGUAUGGAUUUUGAAAAGUUAGUUAACUGUUCAGACGACAUUGUUUCUUUGACUUUUACAAUCCGCUUCCCUCUCACUGACAGUUCAGUUUUGGAAGACCCUGUAUUUUUUUUUUUUUUUUUUUUUUUUUUUGAGACAGAGACUCGCUCUGUCGCCCAGGCUGGAGUGCAGUGGCGUGAUCUCUGCUCACUGCAACCUCCACCUCCCGGGUUCAAGCAAUUCUCUUGCCUCAGCCUCCUGAGUAGCUGGGAUUAUGGGUGUGCACCACCACACAUGGCUAAUUUUUGUAUUUUUAGUAGAGACGAAGUUUCACCAUGUUGGCCAGGACGGUCUCGAUCUCCUGACCUUGUGAUCAGCCUGCCUCGGCCUCCCAAAGUGCUGGGAUUACAGGCGUGAACCACCGUGCCCGGCCUUUUUUUUUUUUUUUUUUUUUUCGAGAUGGGGUCUCACUCAGACUGGAGUGCAGUGGUGCUAUCACAGCUCACUACAGACUUGACCUGCUGGGCUCAAGUGAUUCUCCUGCCUAAGCCUCCCAAGUAGCUGGGACUACAGGCACAUGCCACCAAUACCUGGCUAAUUUUUUUGAAGAAAUGGGAUCCCGCUAUGUUGCCUAGGCUGGUCUGGAACUUCUGGGCUCAAGCGAUCCUUCCGCCUCAGCCUCUCAAAGUGCUGGGAUUACAGGCAUGAGCCAACAUGCCCAGCUAGAGAUGUGUGUGAAUUGGUAGCUUCAAGCUAGAUAUUGGAGGCUCAUGAAGCCCAGGUUAAAGAGGCUUGUAUUCAUCAGAUGCGAUGAAGAGCUUUGAAGUUUUUACUAGAAGUGUGAUUUAAAGUGGUUGGCAUGCAAAAUGAUUUGGAACGUUUGGGGUUUGGGGUAGGGAGAGAGAGGUUGGAAGUAGGAAACAAUUAGAAGGCAAACGCUUUGGGCAAGGUAUCACAUUGAAACCUGAACAGCAGUGGGACUUGCUGGGGGUUGGGACAAAACUAGGCAGAUGUAAGCAUCUAGUGAAUCUAGAGAUUAGGGUGUUCUGUGACCAAGAAUGAGCAGAAGACCUGCUAGGCUCAAGAUUCAGGAGAUUCUCAGGUCCAAAGCCAGUCCUCAGUCUCCGAAGUCAGUCAGGCAGAAGGGAAGUUGGAUCAAGCUGGCCAGAGUUGAGCUCAGGAAGUCAGUGCACUUUCUCUUGUCUGGUUCCUGCAUCGUUUUACUUGUGUAAAAUCAUCAAGAUCCCUAAACCGAUGUCUGAACACCAGGCUUCUAGGCAGAGCUCCACCGUGUGACCUUGGGCGCAUCACUUAUUUCCCCCAGGCCUCAGUUCUUCUGAAAGAUGAGGGGAAGAACUCACAUUCAAAGGCCCUCAGCUUUAGCGUCUUAUUUUAGGUGAUCUGGGCAGAAGAGUCUCACUGUGCUCCUCUCCCUUUCAUAUUUCCUGCUUUGGUAGGAAGUCAUCUCAAGACUUGAGUGUAUAGGCAUGAGGAAGUCUGCUAGAGGACAGGAAGAAUAUUGCUUAAAGAAUAAGAGCUACAGCCCUGAUGGAAGGGGUAAAUUGGCCUGGGAAAAGCCCUGCCUCUGCUACCUGCUUCCCAAGUGACCUUGAACUUAACUCUUUAAACCUCAGUUGCUGCAUCUAUAAAAUGAGAAUAAUAGUAUCUUUUUUAUAGGGUUUUUUUUGUUUUGUUUGUUUGUUUUUAGACGGAAUCUCCCUCUGUUGCCCAGGCUGGAGUGCAGUGGCACGAUCUCGGCUCACUGCAACCUUUGCCUCCCGGGUUCAAGCGAUUCUCGUGCCUCAGCCUCCUGAGUAGCUGGGAUUAUAGGAGUGCACCACCACGCCUAGCUAAUUUUUGUAUUUUUAGUAGAGAUGGGGUUUUGCCAUGUUGGCUAGGCUGGCCUGGAACUCCUAACCUCAAGUGAUUCUCCUGCCUUGACCUCCCUAAGUGCUAGGAUUACAGGUGUGAGCCAACGUGCCUGGCCAGGGUUGUUUUGAGACAUGAAUGAGGUGGACCUUUACAGGCACUUGGUUCAGGGCCUGACCCGUAGUGAGCAUUUGAUAAAUGUUACCUAUCUAUGUUGUCAUGGGCUGGGAGUGUGGGAACAGGAAGUGUCUCAUGCCAGAAGCACUGUGAAUUUUCUCCUUUAAUCAUUGCCUUCAUUUUCUUUGAACCUUAUUCAGAUUGUCCAUGCCUUUGUAAUUGUAGACCCUCUAAACUAUAAUUAGUCCAAAUAAAAUGGACUCACCUUAUGCCAUGUUCUUGUUGAAGGGUCCUCUUUCUUUCUUUCUUUCUUUCUUUCUUUCUUUCUUUCUUUCUUUCUUUCUUUCUUUCUUUCUUUCUUUCUCUUUCUCUCCUCUUUCUGUCUCUCUCUUCUUUCUCUCUCUCUCUCUCUCUCUUUCUUUCUUUCUUUCUUUCUUUUUCUUUCUUUCUCUUUUCUUGCUCUAUUGCCAGGCUGGAGUGCAGUGGUGAGAUCUCGGCUCACUGCAACCUCCGCCUCUGCCUCCCAGGUUUAAGCGAUUCUCCUUUCUCAGCCUUCCGAGAAGCUGGGACUACAGGCGUGCGCCACUAAUUUUUGUAUUUUUAGGAGAGACGGGGUUUCACCAUGUUGGCCAGGAUGGUCUCGAUCUCUUGACCUCGUGAUCCACGCUCCUCGGCCUCCCAAAGUGUUGGGAUUACAGGCACGAGCCAUUGCACCCGGCCAGAUCUUCUUUUUUGUAACAUGCUAAGUAAUACAAUCUCUAUUUAGCUUGAUGUCCACGGUGAUAGCAGGAUUCUUUUCGGAUUUCUGCCAUAGUUAAUUAUUCUGCAUUCUUUUGUCCCUAGUGUGUCAUAUUGAAAUUUUUCUUUUUUCUUUGUUUUUGAUGACUUCUCCAGUUAUUCAUGCUAGUUUUGCAUUCCUGUCCAAGAACAUUUUUGCUGCUUGUUUAUUUUUAAUUUCAUAAACUAAAGCGUUUGAGGUUUUAAAAACCCAGAAUUGAGUUUUCUCAGAGCUGCUAAUCUUUCUAGCCAGCUGGUGACGAGGCUUCUCAAUUCUUGUUACAGGAUGAUGUGUUCUGUCCUCCUGUCUGUGCUUUGUCUAAUUUAGAUUCUAAAUCCACAUGUUUAGGACAUUUUUAGCGUGUCAAAAUUUAUUACCAAAGUAGUGCUGACUUCAGGGAAAAAUUUUUAAUGGAAUCUUUAGUCACUCAUGUUGACACAAGGUGCUUGUCCUAGUGCAGGAAUCUGUGUGGCACCACUAGGUGGUGCCAGACUGCAUCAUUUUUAAAGACAGCCUUUUCUCUUCCAACUCUUUUGCCACUGUUCUCUUUUUUGCUUCUUUGCCAAAUUUGGACCGAGCUUUGAAAACUUCAUAUAAACUUUCUCUUAGUGAGUUAUGUUGCUUAUAGCUUUUCCCUCCACCUUGCCUGUUUUAGUCUUCUUGUUUCAAUAGUUUUGAUAGUUUGACAUUCAGAUAAAACUUAAAACUGAAGCCCAAAGUAAUUACUAAAUGUAUCUCGACUGAUCUGUGGUUUUAAAUUCACCAACAGUGCAUCUCCCUACUUGCUUAAUCAUAUUGAUUUUGAGAUUAAAUCAGUCUCAUAAAUAUGUUAGUCUUCAGCCCACGGUAGUUCUCAUCCAUCUGCAGACUUUUUUUUUUUUUUUUUUUGAGAUGGAGUCUAACUCUGUCACCAGGCUGGAGUACAGUGGCGCCAUCUCAGCUCAUGGCAAUCUCUGCCUCCUGGGUUCAAGCGAUUCUCUUGCCUCAGCCUCCCGAGUAGCUGGGACUACAGGUGCUUGCUACCACGCCCAGCUAAUUUUUGUAUUUUUAGUAGAGACAGGGUUUCACCAUGUUGGCCAGGAUGGUCUCGAUCUCUUGAUCUCGUGAUCCACCCGCUUCGGUCUCCCAAAGUGCUGGGAUUACAUGUGCGAGCCACCACGCCCAGCCCCAUCUGCAGAUAUUUUUACCAGUCCUAUCCACUCAUGCCUGUACCUUCUAAUGUUAUUAAAGUCAGUUUUAUUAUCAUUGAUGACCAUGAGACUUAAUCAAAAGGUCAAGCUAGAAACAGAGAAUAUUCAAAAUUUCUUUCCAGGCAAACAUCUGGGUUCAAUAGAAGCUAGUUCACAUGAAUGGAUCAUGCUCUAGCUCUGUUGUGCUGGAGCUUUUUUGAAGGAAUGCAUUGUUACAUACUAACCACAAUUUUUACAUUGUCCAGGGCAGGAGUAACCAGUUGGUUGAUACUUAGUCAGGGGUUGUGUUUCGUAAUCUGCUAGUUGUACUUGAUGUUUAGGCAUUUGAAAUUUAACCUUGUGCCUUAUUUGUGCUGAAUUUACUAUUGUUUCCUAUUUGUAGUGCUCUGCAAAAUUAUUCUCAGUAUAUCACACAUUUGUAAUCAUUGCCAAUCACUGAAUAUCAAUAACAUGCUAGGUGAUAAGAACUUCUAUUUUUCAGCAGCAUUAUCAUUCCCAAUUUUACUACAUCAGAGAGUUCAUCAUUAUACAGUCAACUCAUGAUUAUUAGGAGUAAGGAACGUAAUAGCAGACCCUGAAUGAGGGAAAAGAAUGUGAAACCACACAUAAACUAAAGGUGAAGUCAUUUACAUCCCUGAAAAUGAUUUUAAGAUACAGAAUGAGAUGUUAAAGGAUCAAAAGAAAAUUAUCGUAGCAAUGAAAAAUGCUACAUGGUUUAUACAAAGUCAUGUCAAGCUCAUAGACUCAGAGAGUGGUGUUAAUCCUGAAGACCACUUGAUGAUUAUGGAAGCCGAGACCCAAAGAGGUUAAGUGACUUACCCAGCACAGCGGGUUUGGGUGUUUUAUAGCUGUUUGACUAUAUGAGCUAUGAUUGCUCUCAUGUUGUGAGCUAAAUUCCAAAGAUAUUGUCGUGUUUGCUUUUGUGGGGACUGUAUUGCUUUCAUAGCAUGAUGGUUGUAUUGUUUCUUUUUGCUUUGUCAUCUGUCAGUCAACUUUGAAGUGAAUCUUCUUUGUUUACAGCAUAGUAAAAUAUGGUGAUUGCAUGGCUCAUAAGAGAUUUACAAAUGAAGAAACUGAGGCCCGGUUGAGCUGCAUGGCACACCCAAGUCAUAGACUUGUGUGUGGUUGAGGCAGAGAAUCUAGGAUACAGACCUCCCUGCUGGGUUCCUCCCGCUCCCAUAACUGCUCUGCACUUCAGCGGGAAAGAUGCCAGAAACUGCAAGCAUAAGGCCUUUUUUUCCCCUAAAAAACUGUAAUUCAUUUGGUUUUGAAAGACUUACCAGAGUUUAAAAGCUCCAUUUUGUGGCUUCCCAAGGUGCUGUGAUUUGUUUCUUACUAGUCUCCUUUGUUCUGUGGAAAAUUUUCUUCUUUGGUUGUUUGAGAUUUAGAUUUCCUUGCCAAGGUAUUUUUAGAGAGAGGAAAUCAGUAUGUUUCACCAAAGGGGUAAAAUAUAUACCUUAAGGCCUAAUUAUGCAAUUACAUUUUUAAUAACGAGUGUCAUAAAUUCUUGCUUCAUUGCAAUCAUUAAUUGGAAGACUGUUCUGCUCAGAAGCCUCAUCUAGUUAUCAUGAUUAUCAUCAACAUCGUCAACCAACCACAAGCAUCAAGCAUUUAUGGAGUAUCCACAGAUUAUGCAGCACUUGCCAGGGUUCUGGGAGACUUAAUCUGUGUGUGUGUGUGUGUGUGUGUGUGUGUGUGUGUGUGUGUGUGUACACCCUUGCCUUCAAGGAGUUUGUGAUCUGCAGAACUGGAGGAAAGACAGAAAACUUGGGGAAAGACAAGUACCUCAUUUUUCAAUAUGUGUAAAGCCCAUACUGAUUCAUGUAUGUGGCAUUGGGGGACAUGGACAGCAGGGAGACAAAGGGAUAGAUCUUAGAAAGGUCUAGUUACAAAUAAAUGGAAGCACAUAAGUUUGCUGACAUGGGAGGACAUAGGCUGGGUUGUAAUAAGGUAGGGUAAUUGGUUGAAGGAGGGAGGAAGAAAUUGGUGAAGAGUUGAAGGCAGUAAUUAAAUAGAUUUGGCAUAAUAACAGAGAUGAUUGGAGAACUGGGAGAAGAAAAUUACUUGCUGUAGUUGAUUAUGGCAGAAACUGACAGGGCAAGAGAUUACAGUUGGGAUUUUUUGCAAAGAGGAGCUUUCAAGUUUGUGACAUCUUUUUUUUUUUUUUUUUUUUUUUGAGAUAGUCUUGCUCUGUCACCCUAGCUGGAGUGCAGUGGCGUGAUCUUGGUUUACUGCAACCUCUGCCUCCCAAGUUCAAGCGAUUCUCCUGCCUCAGCUUCCCAAGUAGCUGGGACUACAGGUAUGCGCCACCACGCCCAACUAGUUUUUGUAUUUUUAGUAGAGACGGGGUUUCACCAUGUUGGCCAGGCUGGUCUCGAACUCCUGACCUCAGGUGAUCCACCUGUCUCGGCCUCCCAAAGUGCUGGAGUUACAGGCAUGAGCCACUGCGCCUGGCCUCCAAGUUUGUGAGAUCUUGCCCAGAUUUAAAUGAAGGAUGUGGGGUUCAGGAUUGGUACAGCAGAGGAAAAAAGUCUCUCUCUCUCCCCACUCCCCUCUUUUUGCUGUGAUCUAUUUUUUUUCCCACACUUUUCACAGGUGUUGUCCUGUGAUCUAUUUCUAUUUGGUGGAUCUCUUUUCCCCUCAUGUUGAGAAUAAUGGCUGAGGUGUGGUGUAUCCUUUAAUUUUGAAAGGAAACGGCAUGAUGGUUUUGCGGUUUAAUCAUGAGACACAAGAACAGCUUUUGUUGUGUGGUGAUACCAUACCCUGAAUUGAGAUUAUCAGUGUCAGACAUAUAUUACUGCACUUUUUUAUCUUCUUCGCUUAAUCAAAAUAGAUUUUAAUGGAAUUUAUUAUUCACUUACUGUACAGUAAAAUUACUUUUAUAACUUUCCAUUGUGUUUUUCUUGUAAAUUGAGGUAUUUGGCCUCUAUUUUUCAAAACAGACAAAAGUUGUAUUCAGGUUAGGUUUGGAUCUGGUAUAUUAGCAUCUUAAAUUCUCAAGUCUCCUAUAAACCUGUUCUCUUAGGCCAGCUAUGGCUGCAGAAGUCAGUUAUAGAUAAACAUUGAGAGGGGAGAUCACAUCAUCCUUUGUUUUCCAUUUCUGAAAUAACGGCAGACACGUGGCACAUGUCCUGAGCCUGGGGUGGUGCCGUUCCUUUUGUUGCUCUAUCUGUAUGGGAGCUAACCUUUUGACAAUUUUUAUGGCAAAUGCUAGGGCAGCUUGUGAGCUAAUUAGAAGAAACUGAUAAGUGAAUGCUGAGUUUGUCGAUUCUCUUUCAUUUUCUGCAGAGGAGACAGCCGUUGAAACGGCAUUCUUCGUGUGGCUGAUAAUUUAGCCCACCAGACCCCUAUGAAAGGGAAUAUUGCUUCUCUCUUAGCUUUUUCCACAUUUUAGUAUUCUCUUUAAAGCCAACAUUUCUCCAUAGGUUCUAAUACCUAGGCAUUUCAUAUAUAGUAGCCAAAUUCAGUUCACUUUCUUCAAGAAAGUUGUCCUUUUCAAACUGUGGCCUUUUCCUGUCAUGGGUCUGGUUUCUUACUCACCCCGCACUGUUGUAUCAGCAGGUACUAGGAUUUGAUUGCUGAUGACUGUAUGUCCCAAAGAAAACAGUGGGAGAAAUGCAGCUGUCAAAGCAAAAAACAAAUAGCAGUUUUAAGGUUGAGUCUCAACCUGGCCAGUUGCAAGAUGGCUGUUCAGUAGAUGUUAUUCCUAAUGCUUCCCUGGUUAAUAGAACUCAAUCAGUCCUGCAGGUUAUUGGUGCUGGUUGCUUCCUAUAACAGAAAAGUACUGCAUUCCAGCUACGUUCCUGCUGUGGAACAUAAGUGCUUAGUGCUAUUUACUUAAAACAUUCUAGGUUGAUAAAUUACAAGCCCUUCACUCUGGGUAAAGCUCAUAAAUCCAGCUCCUACAAAAAAAAUAGCAAGCUGAUAGCACUUAGUCCUGUUUAUAAAGUUCAUACACAUCUAUCCAUGAUAUAGGCACAAGUAUAUAUCUAUGAAAUAGCACUGCAGCCUGUUAAAGUAAUGGGUGAGCACAGCCACAAAGGCGAGAAGCAUCCGACUUCCAGACUCCUCCUAUUAGUCUCUAUGCCUGAAGGGCACCUUGAGGAGGAGGUCUGUGGAAGGGAGCUUCCAGGCAUUGGAGUCCACAUUUGUGCUCCUUUCUCUCUUUCUUCUUCCCGCAAGUCACCUUUCUCACGCCCUCCACCUCUCUCUUUCCUUCUGCAAAAUGAGCAUCUGCCUCUUAGCCUCCCUCUUCGUCACUAGGCUGAGAUGAGGCAGGGAACCGUGGUGGAUCCAGAGCAGUUUGAACACUUUGGCUGCGUGGAAAGCGAUGGGGUUAAAUGAGCAUUUAAUCAGAACCAGGAGCUGUUCUUUUGGCAACCUGUUGAGGAAAAAUGAUAAACCCUAACAAAAAGGCCCUCAAGUGGCACGAGUGCAGGGCCUGAAAGCGUUACGUGCCAUCAGUUAUCCAAAAAGAACAUUUUUUAACCAGAAAAUAAACAUGAGACUCAUCCCACUAGUCCUAGGUUCUUGGAGCCCCACAGGUAUUGUUGCAGGAUGCAUCAUUGCUUCGAAUCAGUGACUGAACAACCCAGUUCCUAAUCAGCGUGGAGAGUCAGAAUUGUCACACGCACUGGGCUGAAGCUGCAUAUUCAGUACUGCAUUGAACAUUCAGUACUGCAGAUAGGAUAAUUAUGCUGUUUGUCAGAUACUAGAAAAGUGCAAAGAACAUUCCUUCACUUUGCAACAGCUUGGACCCAAGUGGCAGACCUGCUGUUCCCUCAGGCUGGCGUGACCUCCCUAUUGUCAGCCCCUUCACCACAGCUCAACUACCCCCCUGGCUUUCAAGAUACAGCUCAAACAGCAUCUCUCCUCAGGAAAGACCUUACUCCCGGAGACCCAGGCCCGAGUUGUGUUGCCACUGUACCCUGUUCUGUUAGCACUUACCAGGUUGCAUUUUUGUGAUCCAUUUACCUGUCUUCCCUGUCAGACAUGAACAGGGACAGUGUCUUGUCCUCAAUUCAUCAUUUUUCUCCUGUUUUGAGCACAAUGACCAGGACGUAGUGGAUGCUCAAUAAAGGUUUGUCAAAUGACUGAUAGUAUGGUUAGCUCAGUGAGAAUUGAUGGUGCCCUUUGUGAUCUGUCAUCCAUCAUCCUUGGUGUGAAGCAGGGCUGGGAGGCUUUAAACAGUGCCACUUGAGAAUCUAAGGAGAGGUGGCAGAGUUACAAUUAACAAUAACUACCCCUUACUGAGUAUUUAUUUGCUAUGGGCCAAGCACUCUCUUAGGGUUUUUAAAUGAAUCAAUGCACUUAAUCCUUAGAUCAAUCUGCUAAGACGAGUUCUGUUUAUUAUCCCCUUUGCAAAGCACAAGGAAGUUCAGUCACUUGCCCAAGGUCACACAGUGACAGUGCAGAGAUUCAUACCAAUGGAGACAACCAUCACUUAUCUAUAUUCCUUUUAGACUAGUUCCUGGAAAGAUUAAGCCCUCAUGUCCUGAGGCAUCCAUCUUAGGUAACAAUUUAACUUCUCUCUUGUUUCUAGAAUGGUAUUAGUGUGUUCCCUACUUGGGAGAAUGGAGAAAAUGGUCACCAGAUAACUUUCUGUGUUUUUUGGUUCAGAUGAGAUAGGUAGAGUUAGUUGACAAAGAAUUGAUUUUAUGUAUUUAUUUUUAUUUUGUUUUUUUUGUUCUUGAUUUUAGAUGGUAGUUUCGGUCCUUUUGGAAACAUAGCAUUAUCCUCCAGCCAGACUGAACUAUCCUACUCCCAUUUCCUGUAAGGACGACUGACCUCUUUUUUGCCUCUAGACUUGUGCAUAUGCUAUUCCCUCUGCCUGGAACAUACUUACCUGCUUGCUCCUCUUUCCCCAAGCCCAGUCUUCACUUGGUUCCUCUUUUCUACCAUGAGCCAGUUUAGAUGUCAUUUCCCUACCUGCCCAGGAUAGGAGGUUCCCACAGCCGCUGGGUGUCCUGUUGUGGCACUCACAAGUGUUAUAGUGCUGAAAGCCCACUCCUGGGGUUUUUAUGUGUGCGAUGAAGGAGGUGAUUAUCUUUUCCCAGCUAGUUCAUAUCCUAGUCCUCUGAGUGUAGAGACUUGUUUCUUUUUCCCCAUUUGUCCCCUGCACCUUGGGCGGUGCUUGGACACAAUGUGUGUGUUCACUAACUAUUUGUGGAAGAGGUGGGUGAGCGGGAGUUAACUGGCUUUAAGUCUUUGAGUUUUGGGUUUUUGAAGUAGUCAAGUCCGUCCACAGUCCGUCCUGUGGACAGCCAUUGUUUGCCAUGUCUUGUAUGUACACACUUGCCUGGGCACUGUGGGGAGCAGAAAGAGGACUAAUACUGCCCUUGUGCUGAGGCACCUACAGUCUCGGGAGAUGUUCAGAGGACAGUGAGUCACUUCACAGCAUCAGCAUGGUAUAGUGGAUGAGUGAUGACACUGAAGAUGAGCUUGGUCAUAUUCUGGCAAGUUGGCUGACACCUGGAAGUCCCGUCCACACCCCAAGACCUCUUUUCCCAGGGUGUCCUGAGAACCACCCAGAGCAACUGUGACCAAUGGCGCUUGUUUUUAAAGAAGUAGAAACCCAAAUUAGGAAGACUGAGCAAACCUCAUGCAUUUGGGGAAGGGCUUGUUGGAAAGUGGAACCUGAUGUAGGUAGCAACAUGUUGAGGUUAGAUUUAACCAAACAGAAAGACUUCUUAAUUGCUUAAAGACAAAAUUUUAUUUUAUAAGUGGAAUUAGGGCUUUAAAUCAAAUAUGUUUGAACGUCUUUACUUGGUUUCCUCAGGCACCUUCACUCAUCUUGUCUAAAACUUAAUUGCUGGUCUAUCCCUGCCAGAUUUGCUGCUUCUCCUUGAUUCCAUCUCUCCUUUAGUGGAACCACCUGGUACUCAAGCCAGACACACAGGUGUCCCUCUUAAUUCUGUCUCCUCUGGUCCUGUUCAGGCACCUGUUCUGUGACUCUGCCUCUUUUCCGUUUCUCAGGCUGCCUUCUCUCCCUUCUACUGCCUUCCUUAUGUCAGGGGUUGGCCUACUUUCUGGCCUUCUUGAUCCAGGGCUUCUUUUGUUCAACUCAUACUCCACCCUGUUGUCAGAGCCCAUCCAGAUUGCAGAUUGGAGCCUAUGACUCGUCUGCUCAAGGGUCUUCAAAGACUUUGCAGCUUUUGGCUGAAGUUGAGCCACCUGGUCCCAAAUGGAGCCCCAUUCCCGCCAUGCCACCUCCUGUCUGUUUAAGCUUUACAAGAUGACUUGCAGUUUCCUGUAGAAAGCAUGACUUUUAAAAAAAGACUUAUUUCCUUCUCUCCUGCAUCUAACUCUCACUUGCUCUUUAAAGCCUUCUCUGACCUAGGUCUUGCCUGUUUCUCCUGCAGAACACUGCUUCCACCAUUUUGUAGCAUCAGUGUCUAACAUUGGUUGGCAUGUAGGGUGUGCUCUAUAAUCCUUGUUGAAAGAAUAAGUGGGAGGUAACAGAGGCUUAAUUCACAUUGAGCUGUAAACGAGCAAUAUCUGACUCUUCUGAGAAUGGAUUUUGUUUCAAACACUGGUUACUUACUGGAAAAGGUGUCUGGGGAGUGCUGGACAGCAAGAACAAAGGGACCCCACAGAACAGGAAAAGAGGCACUCUAGGGUCUGCGGUUUGCCUAUGUUAGAUCACCGUGAAAAAGGCCAGUGUAUGCUUUGGCAGCUGGCAAAGAAUCCUGUGACUCAGUUUCCUUAUUUGCACAAAAAGGGUAUGAGUCUACAUUAGGUAAUUACUCAUGCUCAUUUCCAACUCUUGACAGUCUACGAUCCUUUGUGUCAAAGUUAAAAAUCUAAGUAGGGCAUUCUGAAUUGGUGUCAGAGUUGAUGCACUUCUCACUGUAUUGCAAGUGCCAAGGGGACAAAUACAUUGUCUUUUUGCAUUCAACAAAGACAGUUUUGCAUUUUAAAAACAAAGUAGAAGGGAAUACAGGAAAACUGCAUUAAUACAAUUUUAUGCUGGAGAAUUUAAACUCCCAUGUCAGGAAAUUCACUCAUCAUUCCCUUGGCAGCUUUUGUUUCUCUGCACUGCACACCCCACUUACAGACAGCCCCUUCUUGCCAAAGCCCAGCCCAGCCAUGACCAUGAGUUAUGGCAGAUUGGGAAUCGUUACCUUGAUCUUCUCAACCCUUGGGUGUUUACCUUUUCCAAGUUAAUGCCUGUUCUUUAAUGUUACAUUAUCUUGUAGCAAGGUAGUCAUUUAUAAUUUAUAUACUAGAGCUGCCUUAAAAUAGAGACAAGAGGAUAAUCAGCAUCCUGAAACUUCUAGUUUUCCAAAAUAACAUUUCUUCAGUGAAGUCUGCCUGUAGGAAUUAAAACUUUUGGUGAAUUAAAAAGCUUUUUGUCCUAUUGUCAGACUGGGAAAUGGAUGUGCCCAUUACUCAGCCUUAAAAACGAGGAAGGAGAUCAUCUGUUAAAAAUAAAACUCAUCAUUUUCUUUUAUUCUUCUCAAAAUAAUCCCUAAAGACCUCAAUCUUUAUAGUGUUCCAGUGGCCCCACUAUAGUCAGAGAGGAGACAGGGCAGAAGUUGAAGGACAGAUAGGAGAAACGGCCCUGCUAAAAGAUAAAAGCCAGUAUGCAUCUCAGCUACUUGUCUGCUGUGGUCCUGAUAUUCUUCCAUCUAGGUUGCUGCUUUGCUUGACUUUGACUGCAAACACAGAGAAGGGAUGGGCUUUCCUGUUGAGUACCUUGUAGAGAACCCACUGUUCAUUCAUAUGUGUUAAAAAUGAAAAGCCUACUUGAAAACUCCCCUGUAGAAUCAGGUUUUAGCAAAAACCAAUCAGGUAUCAGAGGUCUAACUUAUUUUUCCCUUCUUGGUUUUAUAGCAAGUCUCUAAACCCUAAGAUUUUUUGUUUGUUUGUUUGAGAUGGAGUCUUGCUUUGUCGCCAGGCUGGAGUGCAGUGGCAUGAUCUCGGCUCACUGCAACCUCCGCCUCCCGGUUUCGAGUGAUUCCCCUGCCUCAGCCUCCCGAGUAGCUGGGACUACAGGCAUGCGCUACCACACCUGGCUAAUUUUUUAGUAUUUUACUAGAGACAGGGUUUCACCAUGUUGGCCAGGAUGGUCUCGAUCUCCUGACCUCAUGAUUCGCCUGCCUCAGCCUCCCAAAGUGCUGGGAUUACAGGUGUGAACCACCACGCCCGGCUGCCUAAGAAUUUUUUUCAUUCCUUUUCAUUAUAUACAUCUUCAGUGUGCCAAGACUUUGAGUGGAGAUUUCUAAUGAGGGCAGGAAGGGACGGAUGCUUCUGCAAUUGAGUGGUCUCAUUUUUCCCAUGUCUGUCGAAAGAUUACUCUUUCAUGACCACCAUUUCUAUGAUGCAUCUCAUAUGAUCCUAAUGCACUCGAGUUUGUAUUUGAAUGUCCAUCUGAUAUUUAGGGGUGGUUGGGGCAAGGAGGGGGCAAGCAGCAACUAAGGGGUUGUAUGGGAACAUCCUGGUGGUUUAACUUGAAAGCCACUAGGUGGCAACAUUUACUAAGUUGCCAGCCAUUCUCUUCCCUUAAGACAUUGAACUUGCUUUUCCACAUAGCAGAUGGAAUAGCUGAGAAAAGAGAUUGCCAUUGCUUCAGGUUCUUUUGAAAGUGAGGCUAUAGGAUAAACACACUACAGUAUAUUGAUAUCUAUUCGUCACCUGGGUUUAGAUACCAGGAGUUUGAAUUUGCUCUGGGUGACUGGGUGAGUAGCUUCCCCUUUGGCCUCAGUUAGGCAUCCUUGACAGGACAGACCUGUGAUUGGACUGUCUGGUCUCUCAUGGUUCUUUUUCUCCAUGAUUUAUGACUUUGAUUAUGAUUUCUUUAUAUUAAAAAAAAACUUGUAGUAAAACCAGUCUUAUUUAAAGGAAUACUAGCCUUUUAUCAAAGGGCAAAGUAAUGAUUUAAAAAAAAAAUCAACAACAAAAUUUCAAGGGAAUGAAUGUCCCUAGAAGCUAGCCAUCUCCCCGAGUUAACUUAAGAGGCUAGACUCUCCUAAAUGAGGAUGCUUAUUUACCAGCUUUCCUAAAUUAGCAGCUUUGGAGAUGUUAAAAUCCGUAAGGAACUGUCCAAGGGAUGUAUUGUGUAUGCUUUGCAGUGAUUAAGCCAUUAAGCUCUAAUUGGUAUUUUCCCACUCAUGGGUUUGUAAAGGAAGCUUUAAAAUUAUUUAGGAAUUCAGUCCUCAUCAGCUGUCUUAGUGUCAUCCCCACGUUUUGGAACCUGAGAGUGGAGAGUGCAGAGAAAAGGUUUUAUUAAUGAUUUUUGCUCACAGUGUCCUUCCCCAUUGGUUUGUUAUUGCAGAUGAAGUGGAAAGGGAAGGACCUCUUUGAUUUGGUGUGCCGGACUCUGGGGCUCCGAGAAACCUGGUUCUUUGGACUGCAGUACACAAUCAAGGACACAGUGGCCUGGCUCAAAAUGGACAAGAAGGUUGGGCUAGAACUCGAUGAAACUGGUGGGGCUGACGUGAGCUUUCCAGUUUUUCCCUGAGCAGGCGCCUAGCUCAUCACUGGGGCGCUGUAGCUGUAUAGUAGAGAAGGGGGCACAUUCCUGAAUUAAGUCAUGCAGAAAGCAGGACGUAGAGAUGCUACCAGUUUCCUUCUCCUCACAGGCUCUCCUGGGCAAGCAGAAGUUACCAGGAUUAGACUGCUGCUGGCCCUGGCUUCUUUACCCAUUGUUACCAGCCUGAUUGCUUCUGGCUUUAUGCCUUUCAGUUUAUGAAUAAAAACUUCAUGAAUAAAAAUUACUGUUAUCUUCAUAUACUUAAAAAUAACCAAUUUGUGUCUUUUAGAGAGUAUUGGGGCUUGUGUUCUUUAGGGAAUUUUUUAAAGUCUUUUUGAGGAACACCAUAGUCUGACAUGAAGUAAUCAUUAAUAUGAUCUAAGGAAUAGAGAGUGCCUGGUCCCCAGGGUGAAAGAAUGUCCAUUUUGUCCUCAGGAUUCUCUGGGGCUUCUGACACAUGGCCAAGAAAGCUGGGCUCCUGGCAAUUUUAAUGUGGCUUGGAAAUGAAUAUUGCCUAAAGGAACUGCCCUCUGCAUGGGUUCAUAUGUUCACACAAGGAUACACUUGCUUACUGACCUGCCUACCUAGCCAUGAAAGGCAGGCGGGGAGCAGGACCAUAUGCUUUUGUCAGUAACUCCUAAAAGACACCUGAACUUCAAAGUAAGUCAAUGUCUAAUUCUUACCCCAAAUGAUGCCCCCUCCAGUUGCCUACCUGAGCAUAAUAAAUAAUGAAAGCUUCCUAUUUUUUUUUUUUUUACCAGUUUGACUCAAAGCUUAAGUGUUCGAAUUGUGUUCACAUAUGUACACAGUAAUCUAAAUAAUCACAUGGGAAUCCCUGCUGGUUGUAAGUUCAAUGGUAAUUCCCAAUGAUCAUGAGCAUCUAAGUGCCACUGGGGGCCACUGUCAGUGAGGGUGUCGUAGACCAGAUUUUGAAUCUCCUUGGCAUUGCCAUCUAGAAUUUGGGCAGGAGCAUGGAGAGUUAUGUGUCAAAGACAGCAAAACUUUUUGUAUGUUUUUCAUGAUUCUUAGCAAAGUGAAUUUUAAUGAUAGCUGAGUGUAGGCCAAAUGGAUAUUAGACUGGGGGCAUCAGGAGCCGUGGAACUUGCUGCUCAAGGGAAAUACAUCAUGACACAUGUUAAUGGAGCCUUGUAGCCUGUCACAUGGCGUGUUUAUGUCUUGAAAUUCACUCUGGAGAGCAGAUGGUUCAAGCUUUACAGGGGUGAAUGGAAUUGUUAGAAGAUUUAAAGGCAGUGGUUUACAGACUGUGCUUCAAGUAUUUUGUGGGGCAUCUCUGGAGGUUCCUUGAAACAAAGGGUUGCCAUGAUGGACACAUUUUAUUCUGUUGCUCAGUUAAUGUUUAGAUGACUUCAUAAUGAUCUAGUUCAUCAUCUCUAAGCUGUAUUUUUUUUUUUUUUUUUUAAGACAGAGUUUUGCUCUUGUUGCCCAGGCUGCAGUACAAUGACGCAGUCUCGGCUCACUGCAACCUCUACCUCCUGGGUUCAAGAGAUUCUCCUGCCUCAGCCUCCCGAGUAGCUGGAAUUACAGGUGUCCACCACCACACCUGGCUAAUUUUUUGUAUUUUUAGUAGAGAUGGGGUUUCACCAUGUUGGCCAGGCUGGUCUUGAACUCCUGACCUCAGGUGAUCCACCCGCUGUGGCCUCCCAGCGUGCUGGGAUUAUAGGUGUGAGCCACCACGCCCAGCGCUCUAAGCCGUAUUCUAUCACGGACCUAAAUAUUGGCAGUAGGCACCAAGAAAAAAGAAAUAAAGGAAGAUUCCACUACUUCAGAUAAUUAAAAAACCUUCCACCUACCAUAAAGGACAGUGUCCAAGACUGCUGAGUGAUACAUUUCUAGUUUUUAACUAUUCUGUGGCCCUGAGAACAUUUAUGCCUUAAUCCUAGCUCUGCUCACUUCUUGGGGCUAUUGAUUAAUUUGUUUCAGAAACACCAUAGGAAGUGAAUAUUACCUCUUGCUAUAGGUGACUUUGUGAAUACUUCAAACUGUAAAAUCACAACUUUCAGGAAAUGUGAUAAAUUUAGUGGGAAAAAAAUUUAAUGCACGCCUUGCAAAGGCUUCUUUGAGGGUAGCACAGGAGGAAGUGCCAAUAUAGUGUGUUUGUCUUUUGCUCUGCAAUUCUGCAGGUACUGGAUCAUGAUGUUUCAAAGGAAGAACCAGUCACCUUUCACUUCUUGGCCAAAUUUUAUCCUGAGAAUGCUGAAGAGGAGCUGGUUCAGGAGAUCACACAACAUUUAUUCUUCUUACAGGUACAUCAGUCAAGGCUACCCCCCAGUUCUGAGAGAACUUGCCCAGGAGUGGUUGCAGAGUUGGCCUCAGAGUUGACCACAAACACCUUUGUAUUGCAAAAAUAUUCUACCUCUGGAAGGUCAGCCCCUUUGGUUCUGUAAUGGAAAAAAGGCUUCAGAACAGAACUAUACUUGAGUGAUGAAAAUUGGUGUCAGAUGAAAUUGUGAAGGUGUGAUGGUGAAGAAUGGAUACAAGUAGCUACCUAACUUAAAACCUCCUUGAAAAUGGGUCCUAUUUUCUUCUAGCUAACUUAAAAGUACUCAAUAGUUUCAAAGGAAGGCUAAAGAGAGAGUCUUAUAAAGCAGUAGUUCUUCCAAAAGUUUAAAAUCUGCUCUCAUUAAGAGAGGACUGGCCGGGCAUGGUGGCUCAGGCCUGUAAUCCCAGCACUUUAGGAGGCCGAGGCGGGCAGAUCACAAGGUCAGGAGAUCGAGACCAUCUGGCUAACAUGGUGAAACCCCGUCUCUACUAAAUAUACAAAAAUUAGCCGGGUGUGGUGGCAGGUGCCUGUAGUCCCAGCUACUCGGGAGGCUGAGGCAGGAGAAUCACUUGAACCUGGAAGAUGGAGGUUGCAGUGAGCCAAGAUCGCGCCACUGCACUCCAGCUUGGGCAACAGAGUGAGGUUCCGUCUCAAAAAAAAAAAAAAAAAAAAAAAAAAGGACUUCAGCCGGGCGGGUUGGCUCACCCCUGUAAUCCCAGCACUUUGGGAGGCUGAGGCGGGCAGAUCACGAGGUCAGGAGUUCAAGACCAGCCUGACCAACAUGGUGAAACUCCAUGUCUACUAAAAAUACAAAAAUUAGCCAGGCAUGGUGAUGCAUGCCUGUAAUCCCAGCUACUCAGGAGGCUGAGGCAGGAGAAUCACUUGAACCCAGGAGGCGGAGGUUGCAGUGAGCCAAAAUUGAGUCACUUCACUCUAGCCUGGGUGACAGAGUGAGACUCUGUCUUAAAAAAAAAAAAAAAAAAAAAAAAAGAGGACUUCAGAGCUCUAGUGACACUUGGUUUGUCCCCCAUAUGUGGUACUUCAGACAUCGUGCUUCAUGCUAUGCUGUGUCUCUAAUUGUCCUAUUUCUUCCUUAAUUCCUCAUUAGAUUGUAAGCCCCUUAAAGGCAAGCCUCAUUAAGUACACAGUAGGCAUUCCAUAAGUAAUUGUCCCACCGAAUUGAAGAAAUUAAGAAAUUCACAAUUACAGGUUGACCAUCCAGAGGCACAGGGAGGGGAACUGGUCUGAGGAUGAAAACCUUAUCAGUUUCACUUAUGUUCUUACUGCAGGUCAGAGUGGCUCCCCAGUUUCAUGGCCAGUUGCAGUGAUUGGCACUGGGGCUAUUUGUGUGCUCAAAGGUUUCAGUAAUGUAAAAGAUGGCAGUAGGGGCAUUAAUUACAUGAUUUCCCAGAGAUAGUUGGGUAGUCUGUCACAUAGCCCUCCUGUAAUUAAUUUCAGCCUCAGUAUAUUGUGGUCAGCAAAUAUUAAGUUAAAUAUAAUAAAACCCCCUAAAUUCUUUUUAAAAAAGGUCUGGGGGGCGUGUGUGUGUGUGUGUGUGUGUGCACGCGCAAAAGAGGUGACAAAUUUAUUUCUGAUGUUUGCAGAUCAAAGGGACACUCUUAGGCUGGGCGUGGUGGCUCAUGCCUGUAAUCCCAGCAAUUUGGGAGGCCGAGGCGGGUGGAUCACCUGAGGUCAGGAGUUUGAGACCACCCUGACCAACAUGGAGAAACCCCGUCCCUACUAAAAAUACAAAAUUAGCCGGGCAUGGUGGCACAUGCCUGUAAUCCCAGCUACUUGGGAGACUGAGGCAGGGGAAUCACUUGAACCCGGGAGGUGGAGGUUGCAGUGAGCCGAGAUUGCGCCAUUGCACUCCAGCCUGGGCAACCAGAGUGAAACUCCUUCUCAAAAGAAAAGGGAUGUUCUUGCAGUUUUUCUAUAGCGUUGCUUUUUCCCCCCUCUCUUUGGAAAUGAAACCAAGGGAUUAGAAAGUUGCACUGCUUGAGAAACAUCUCAGGUUUCAUUUUCUCUCUAAGAAUGUAAAAUCACUUUUAAAACCUAAGAAGAAUUUUUGUGUUUGAACGUAAACACCUAACAAUCUCCUAGGUCCCAGAAUGUCCUAAUGUUAUAGAAAUGGCUUUCUUGUAAGUACUUGGAAGCACUGCCUGUCUCUUGUGUGACUGACUUGAUUUUCCCCAUACUGAAAUGUUAAGGCAUUUUUAUGACUGAGCAAGGCAAAAUUUACUGCUUUUAUGAAUCCGGUGACUGUUGACAUCUGUGAGAGGAGAGCUGGCUUUCCUGCUGUGUUUAUUUCAGUGUCCCCCUGCCACGUCAUGCAGUUGUCUUGCUUCUGUGUCUGGAACAUCCCAAGUUGCACCAUUCUAAGAAAAUUAAGUGCAAUGAAAUAUGUUAAUUCAACAUUAUGGCUUAAGAAUUAUAUUUCCUGGACCUCACGUGUACUUAAAAGUUGAAUCGAUCAAAUUUUAUUGCUUCCUUUUCCCUUAGAGCAGCACGUUGAGAGUGAUGGUUUUUUCUGCAAUCAUAACUCAGUGGCCUUGGUGACUUUUGUCUUGUGUUAAUACUUAAAAGUAGAUCCAUUUCCUCUGGGGCCAUGCAUAUUCAAAGGGGCUGAGGCUGUAGUCAUCCCCAGAGCUGCUCUUGACACUUCUUGAGUUCAUAGCGCUCUGUCACACAGCCUCUGUUGUAACUACAGAGACCGUUUUUACUCUUCAGCAUUGAUCAUGAAGAGAAGAGAUAAGGGGUUUUUAUGCAUAGCCGUCAUACCAGUAACUUCUGUGACUGAACUCUCCACCUGUCUGCAUCAGUAAAAAAAAAAUUGUACCCUUUGUCAGAAAAUUAUUAACAGGCUGCUCUGGCAGCCCUCAUUAGAACGCCGUGAGGCCAUCUGUUGUGAUCAGCCUACACACCUCACUUCCACUCACAGAGUAUCAUGUCUCCCUUGUUGCUCCUUUCAGGUAAAGAAGCAGAUUUUAGAUGAAAAGAUCUACUGCCCUCCUGAGGCUUCUGUGCUCCUGGCUUCUUACGCCGUCCAGGCCAAGGUAGGCUCAAAGAAGAAAAAUGUAUUUUUCCUGGGCGUUAAUUUGGGUCAUGGGAUCACUCCUAUCUUCUCUUUCUUUGGGUUUUCUGUACUUCAGAGAGACUUGCCCCAGAAAGUGAGAUGUUAUGGGACUUGUGGACUUGAAGAACCACUGUCACUGUUCCAGUGUUUGUAUAAUCUUGUGUGUGUAUGUGUGUGUGUGUGUAUGUGUGUGUGUGGUGUGCAGAAAUUAUAAGUAUCGUUCUAAUGAAUUAGAAUUCAUUCUAAGUGAAUUCAUUCAGAAAGAUGAAUUUCCUGUGUAAUCUCAUUAUGUACAUGUGGUUUAUGACAUUUACUGGAAAAACCUUUUUUCUUUUUUUUUUUUAAACCAUAAACUCAACCAUGUGGUACAACCUUUCUAUUAGCCAGGAAAAAUGAAUUUAUGGUCUCCAAUUUUAGCCAAACAUGGCCUUUAGGUCAGAAAGGCCCAGGUCCUCACUCCAAACUCAUUUGCAAACAAGCUGCCUUGUGUGUGGACACUACACUACACCUUCAGAGAAUGCCCUGCUUCAUCUGCCCCUGAUUGACAUGCUAGCUGUUCAUGUGGCUAAGCACUGCAGGUGCUGUGGCCCACCAAGCCCACUUGAGCUGUCUGGUUAGCUGAAAAUCGUUCACUUCCGUUAAAUCACUAUAGACCUUUUUUUUUUUUUUACAAGACCGAUGAGAGGGUUAGCCACGGAGUUUCAUGUCCCUCAGAUUUUUCACUUCAGUCAUAUAUCACCUUCUCUUGGUUCCCCUGAUCCCUGCCUUUCACCAGAGCACAAGAUGUUGUCCCCAGAAUUGGGGCUCCUUGAUUACUUGUGUGAUUUUAUUUUAUUUAUGUUUUAUUUGUAUUUUUAUAGAGAUGGGGUCUCACUAUGUUGUCCAGGCUGGUCUUGAACUCCUGAGCUCAAGUGAUCCUUCCACCUUGGCCUCCCAAAGUGCUGGGAUUACAGGUCUGAGUCACCAUGCCUGGUCUUACUUGUGUGAUUUUUUUUUUUUUUUUUAUUGAUCAUUCUUGGGUGUUUCUCACAGAGGGGGCUUUGGCAGGGUCAUAGGACAAUAGUGGAGGGAAGGUCAGCAGAUAAACAAGUGAACAAAGGUCUCUGGUUUUCCUAGGCAGAGGACCCUGCGGACUUCCGCAGCGUUUGUGUCCCUGGGUACUUGAGAUUAGGGAGUGGUGAUGACUCUUAAUGAGCAUGCUGCCUUCAAGCAUCUGUUUAACAAAGCACAUCUUGCACCGCCCUUAAUCCAUUUAACCCUGAGUGGACAUAGCACAUGUUUCAGAGAGCACAGGGUUGGGGGUAAGGUCACAGAUCAACAGGAUCCCAAGGCAGAAGAAUUUUUCUUAGUACAGAACAAAAUGAAAAGUCUCCCGUGUCUACUUCUUUCUACACAGACACGGCAACCAUCCGAUUUCUCAAUCUUUUCCCCACCUUUCCCCCCUUUCUAUUCCACAAAGCCGCCAUUGUCAUCCUGGCCCGUUCUCAAUGAGCUGUUGGGCACACCUCCCAGACGGGGUGGUGGCCGGGCAGAGGGGCUCCUUACUUCCCAGUAGGGGCGGCCGGGCAGAGGCGCCCCUCACCUCCCGGAUGGGGCGGCUGGCCGGGCGGGGGGCUGACCCCCCAACCUCCCUCCCGGACGGGGCGGCUGGCCUGGCGGGGGGCUGACCCCCCCACCUCCCUCCCGGACGGGGCGGCUGGCCUGGCCGGGGGGCUGACCCCCCCACCUCCCUCCCGGACGGGGUGGCUGCCGGGCGGAGACGCUCCUCACUUCCCAGACGGGGUGGCUGCCGGGCGGAGGGGCUCCUCACUUCUCAUAUGGGGCGGCUGCCUGGCGGAGGAGCUCCUCACUUCACAGACGGGGCGGUUGCCAGGCAGAGGGUCUCCUCACUUCUCAGACGGGGCGGCCGGGCAGAGAUGCUCCUCACCUCCCAGACGGGGUGGCGGCCGGGCAGAGGCGCUCCUCACAUCCCAGACGGGGCGGCGGGGCAGAGGCGCUCCCCACAUCCCAGACGAUGGGCGGCCGGGCAGAGACGCUCCUCACUUCCUAGAUGUGAUGGCGGCCGGGAAGAGGCGCUCCUCACUUCCCAGAUGGGAUGGCGGCUGGGCAGAGACGCUCCUCACUUUCCAGACUGGGCAGCCAGGCAGAGGGGCUCCUCACAUCCCAGACGAUGGGCGGCCAGGCAGAGACGCUCCUCACUUCCCAGACGGGGUGGCGGCCGGGCAGAGGCUGCAAUCUCGGCACUUUGGGAGGCCAAGGCAGGCGGCUGGGAGGUGGAGGUUGUAGCGAGCCGAGAUCACGCCACUGCACUCCAGCCUGGGCACCAUUGAGCACUGAGUGAACGAGACUCCGUCUGCAAUCCCGGCACCUCGGGAGGCCGAGGCUGGCGGAUCACUCGCGGUUAGGAGCUGGAGACCGGCCCGGCCAACACAGCGAAACCCCGUCUCCACCAAAAAAAUACGAAAACCCGUCAGGCGUGGUGGCGCGCGCCUGCAAUUGCAGGCACUCGGCAGGCUGAGGCAGGAGAAUCAGGCAGGGAGGUUGCAGUGAGCCGAGAUGGCAGCAGUAUAGUCCAGCUUUGGCUCGGCAUGAGAGGGAGACCGUGGAAAGAGAGGGAGAGGGAGACCAUGGGGAGAGGGAGACCAUGGGGAGAGGGAGAGGGAGAGGGCACUUGUGUGAUUUUAAAACAUAAUCUUUUCACUUAUUUUUCUUUUUAAUUAAAGGUGUUCAUGAAGCCAUUUCCCUUAAGGUUAGAAAAAAUAAUAAAAUACUCUUAACUCACUUUUUGGGGUAGAUUAAUGCAAUUUCAGAUCAAAGCCAGGAAGUAACUGUCAUUUGUGGGGAAAAAAGGCUAUACAUGCUAGUCAGACCAAUAGAAGCACCAAAGUCAAUUUAAUCAUUUGAUGGCUCAUGUAAUAUUUGCUGAGUAUUCAUCAGGCCCAGGGUGGGGAGAGAGCAUGAGAGUUGUUGACCAUCUCAUAGUUGCAGGCACUAAAGCAAGUAUCUGCCCUCAGUGAUUUGCCCAAGAUCAUUCAGACAAUCUUGGGCAAAGCUAAGAGCAGAAGGGUAGAAUUCAUGGCUUUGAGAUUGCAUUUUGUGCCUCCAAUAUUCUACUUUCCUGAAAAAUUAGUAAUUGAGAAAACAGAAAAUGGGCCCUCAUUCAACUAAAACAUAUGCUUCCUUUUAUGCUUUGAUCAAGAAUAUUAGUAAGAGGAAAAAUGUGUCCUUUCAAUCAGUAUCACCCCGACAGUGAUGAAGCAGUCAUUGGCACUUUGAUUAAAUCCGAGCACUUCCUGGCCUGGAGUUGAGUUCCUUUUCGCACGCUUUCUCCCCAGCGAGAGCAGACCCAGCCUCUCAAGGACACCACCUCUCUUUGAAGGGCUUCCAUCUCAAAGGCUACAUUUUCUUUCCAUGGAUUUUUGGGCCACAAAUUCAAAGGCCACCUGUAGAAAAAAAUUACUUUUCAGUGAACCAGCAGAUGUUUGCUUAAACAGGUUUCACUGUAGGAAAGCCCUGCUAAUUUGGAUCGUACUAAUUUGGAGAUGAAAGUGAUUCACAGACGACAUAUGUGGCUCACAUGGAGGAGGAUGUUCUAGCUAUUUUUUCUGGUGUAAAUUUUAAGGAUCUUACAAAUAAAGGUAAUCUAUGGCUUAAAGUCUUCAUUUGGGAAACUAAGGCUUACUAUGACAUACUUCCAGUUUCUAGGACUGCUGGUUAAUAGUUAAAGGAUAUCUGAUUAUAAUAUUAAUAAGAUCUUACAUGCCCAUAGUGUUUUCUAGUUUUACCAAAGCAAUACAAAUGAAUAUUUUGUGCGACACUCAGUGUAGUCUUUCCAGAAGCCAAGGCUUGAGAGUAUUAUGCCUGUUUUGCAGAUGAGGAAUUUAAGGCUCAGAAAGGGAUUUGUGACUUGUGCAAACUCACAAUACUUUUAUGUUAAGCCUAUUUUUAUGAAAUUUUUAGCCCACUUCUCGAUGGAGAGGAUUUCAGGCCAAAUAGAAUGAGUGGAGCUGGGAUGGGAACCCUAGUGUCCAGGCUGCCUAAGUUAGCACAUUGCACUUGCCUGUCACUGUCUAGCUUGAGGGAGGUCUUUGGGUAGCAACCACUGCCUUUCACUAAAGGCUAGUUUCAUUUAUAUGAUCACAUUUGUCUAAGUUCUUCAGUAAGUCAUACUGGUUCCUUCCAUUAUAUUCAGCUUGUUUUCUUCCACAACCUUUCUGAAACAGAAAGGAACUUUAGAAGUGUGGAAGGGAAAGCGAAUUGAGCUCAUUAACACAUGGAAUGUAAUUAUGCACAAAUGUAUUCAUUACAGUAUUUCAGCUGUUGGAAUGAUAUAGACACAGUUAAUUCCAAAGCAUAAAGAAACAAUUACCCUCAAAGUAUAAAUACAAUACUAAUCACAUGGUUCAGUUAACAAGAACCAUAUAUGAGUUAUACUUGAAUCAAAAGUGUAGGCAGGGACUGGGCACAGUGGCUCACACCUGUAAUCCUAGCACUUUGGGAGGCCAAGGAGGAUGGAUCACCUGAGGUCAGGAGUUCUAGACCAGCCUGACCAAUGUGGUGAAACCUAAUCUCUACUAAAAAUACAAAAAUUAGCCAGGCGUGGUGGUGUAGUCCCAGCUACUUGGGAGGCUGAGACAGGAGGAUUGCUUGAACCUGGGAGGUGGAGGUUACAGUGAGCUGAGAUUGAGCCAUUGCACUCCAGCCUGGGUGACAAAGUGAGACUCCAUCUCAAAAAAAAAAAAAAAAAUGUAGUCAGGGUUUUUUUGGUGCAGUCACAUGACACACUAAACCAUCUUGCAAUGUUUAAGUCACCUGUUGGAUUGUAUAUUGACCAUUUGGUGUUGGAAAUGUGUUCUUAUUGAAAAUGACUUUGGGAGAGAAUGGCAUAUAAUUUAUGAAUCUCAUGUUGCUGUGUGCAGACUCCUAGUGAUCAGAAGAGAGAAAAGAAUUGUGGGAAGGGAAGCUUAGUUUCUUAGUACUCUUUAAUGCAAAUCAGGGACAGAGUGCCAAAGUACAAUUGAGUUAGAAAAUUGAGUGUGUAAAGUGUAGGUAGAGAGUGGCAAGAGUUGAGGCUGGAGAGGUAUGCAAAAAAUCAGAUCUUAAAAGGUCUUAACUUUAUCCUGUAGGCGAUGCAGUGAAGGGUUUAUAUUUUAGAUAGAGCCUGUAGUGGCUGUGUGAUGGACAGAUUGGAGUGAGACAACUUUGGAAACAGGGAGACCUAUUAGAAGGCUGUGAUAGUUGCCCUGGUGAGAGAAUAUUAGGUUCACACUUCAGGUGGUUGGUUGGAUGGGGGCUGACUGAUUUAAAAAUAUCCAGGAGAUAAAAAGUUGAUUAGAUGGUGCUAUACUCUGCAUAUCCCUUUUUUUCAUAUCCUUUUACAGAAUGGUAUUUUUCUUCCCACUCAGCAUCUACUUUGAGAUGUAUCCAUGUUGUGUGUAUAGAUGUAGCUCACUGAUUUUAAUUGAUUUAAUAUGGUAACCACUGAUAAAUAAACCUAGUUUAUUUAUCUGUUCCUCUUCUGAGGGAGAGGUAGUUUGUUUCCACUUUUUCCUUAUUAUCUAAACAGUGCUCAAAUGAAGAUCCUUUUAUGUGAUUCCUUAUGUACAUGUGCAAAUGCUUUUUCCCCUUAAGGUAGGUGCCUACGAAAAUAAAUAAAUAAAUACAUACAUACAAAAAAUAGCUGGGUGCAGUGGUGGGCGCCUGUAGUCCCAGCUACUUGGGAGACUGAGGCAGAAGAAUCGCUUGAAUCCGGGAGGCAGAAGUUGCAGAGAGCCAAGAUCACACCACUGCACUCCAGCCUGGACGACAGAGUGAGACUCCAUCUCAAAAUAAAUAAAUAAAUAAAUAAAUAAAUAAAUAAAGUAAAAAAAUUAAAAAAGGUAGGUGUCUAGAAGAAGAAUUGCAUAGAAUUGACAGAAGAGGUGAACCCCAAUAUAAAAAAAAUCUUAAGUUGAUAAAAAGACAAAUGCUAUAAACAGGGCAUGAAACAUGCACUUUAUAGAAGAGAAAACAAGAAUGGUCAUAAAUACAAAAAGAUGUUUCAUCUCACAGGUAAUCAAGAAAAAGAAAAAACAACAAUAAGGCAACAUUUCAAACCCAUAAGAUUGGCAGGGAUUACUAGAUUGGGUAACUGCAUUGUUGGUGCUCAUUUACCUGCCAAAGGGAUUGUGAAAUUGGCAUAACCUCUGUAGAGCACCAAGUGUGGAAGGGACGGGUGGAAGUGAGGAGACACACCGCUGGCUGUUCCAGGUGGCUACUCCAGAGGAAUCUCUGCACACACAUCCUUUUCACUUAAAACUGUCACAACAGAUAGACCCACUUCAUUUUCUUUUUCUUUUUGAGACAGCAGUCUCUCUCUGUCACCCAGGUGGCACAAUCUCCACCCACUACAACUUCUGCCUCCCAGGCUCAAGGGAUCCUCCCACCUCAGCCUCAGCGUAUGCCCUGCUAAUUUUUGUGUUUUUUGUAGAGACAGGGUUUCCCCUUGUUGCCCAGGCAGGUCCCAAACUCCAGGGCACAAACUCUAUACCCGCCUCAGCCUCCCAAAGUGCAGGGAUUACAGGCAUGAAUCACUGCACCUGACCCCAGCUCAUUUUCAUUUAACUGCCGAACUAUGUUUCAUAGAAAGGAGGGACUGGAUUAUUUAAAUAUAUCUUUAUUGGUAGAUAUUUAGGUUUGUUUUUCUUUCUGUUGUUUUUCUAUUGGUGAAACAGAUGCAAUGGACAUCCUUGAAUAUGCAUCUUUGGGCAUAUAUGGAUAAUAUCUCUCUAUAAUAGAUAUCAAGACAUGGUAUAACUGGGUUAAAGAAUAAGAACAUUUAAAAUGUAAGUAAUGUGAAGCAAAAAAAAAAGCCAGACACAAAAGGCCACAUAUUUUAUGCUUCCACUUACCUGUAGAUGAAAUGUCCAGAACAGGCAAAUCCAUAGAGACAGAAAGUAGAUUUAGUGGUUGCCAGGGAAAGGGAGAAGGAGGAAAUUAGGAGUGACUGAUACUGGCCAGGCACGGUGGCUCACACCUGUAAUCCCAACACUUUGGGAGGCUGAAGUGGGUGGAUCACUGGAGGCCAGGAGCUUGAGACCAGCUUGGCCACAUGGCAAAACCCUGUCUCUACUUGGCCGGGUGCGGUGGCUCACGCCUGUAAUCCCAACUCUCAGGGAGGCAAGAGGUGGGAGGAUAGCUUGAGCCCAGGAGUUCGAGACCUGCCUGGGCAAUAUAGCGAGACCCCUUUCUCCAGAAAAAGGCAAAAACAAAACAAAACAAAACAAAACAAAAGACAAAAAAUAUAUAAAAGCCAGCUGUGGUGGCAUAUGCCUGUAAUCCCAGCUACUCAGGAGGCUGAGGCACGAGAAUCACUUGAACCCAGGAGGCAGAGGUUGCAGUGAGCUGAGAUUGCACCCCUGCACUCUAGCCUGGGGUGACAGAGUGAGACUCUGUCUGAAAAAUAAAAUAAAAAUAAAAAAGGAGCCACUGGUACAAAAAAAAAAAAGAAAAAAUGAGUAAGACCUACUAUUUGAUAGCACAACAGGGUGACUAUAGUCAAUAAUAAUUAUACACUUAAAAAUAACUACAAGAACAUAAUUGGAUUGUUUGUAAAACAAAGGAUAAAUGCUUGAGGGGAUGGACACCCCAUUCUCCAUGAUGUGAUUAUUUCACAUUGCACACCGUAUCAAAACAUCUCAGGUACCACACAAAUAUAUAUAUACCUACUAUGUACCCACAAACAUUAAAAAUUAAAAAUAAAUAUAACUUACAAAGAUUAAAAAUGAAAUUAGAAGUGAUGGCUAGUGGGUACAGGACUUCUUUUUGGGGUGAUGGAAAUGUUCUGGAAUUAGAUAGUGGUGAUGGUUGCACAAGAUUCUGAAUAUACUAAAAAACACUGAAUUGUACACUUAAUGUAAAUUUUAUGUAUAUAAAUUUUAUCUCAAUAAAAAAUUUAAAUAGAUAUAGCCAAAUCACCCUCCAAAACUGAUGUCAUAAUUUAACUUUCAAUAACAGUGUGUGAGAAUACCUGUUUUUCCACAUUCUUGCGAACAGUAGAUACUAUCAGUCUUUAAAAUUUUUGCUAAUUGAUAGAAAAAGAUUUUUUAAAAUUUGCAUUUCCUUGAUUGCUAUUGGGACUGAACGUCUUUUCAUAAACUUACUGUCCAUUUGUAUUUCUUUGUUCUGUGAAUCAACCGUUUAUGACUUGCCUACUACUGUAUUGUUUGUUUGUUUCUUUCUUUUUCUUUCUUUCUCUUUCUCUUUCUUUCUCUCUCUCUCUCCUUCCUCCCUCCCCUUCCUUUUCUUUCCUUUUUCUUUUCUUUCUCCCUUCCCUUCCCUUCUCUCCCCUUUGCUCCCCUCCCCUCCCCUUCUGUUUCUUUUUCUUUUCUUUCUUCCUUUCUUCCUUUCCCAGGUUCAAGUGAUCCAUCCGCCUCAGCCUCCAGAGGAGCCGGGACUAUAGGCAUGCGCCACCAUGCCAAGCUAAUUUUUGUAUUUUUAGUACAGAUGAGGUUUCACCAUGUUGGCCAGACUGGUCUGGAACUCCUGACCUCAGGUGAUCCAUCCGCCUCGGCCUCUCAAAGUGCUGGGAUUACAGGCAUGAGCCACUGCACCCAACCUGUUCAUCUUUUUCCGAUUGAUUUGUAGAUGCUCCAUGUAUUAUGAGUUAUCAACCUUUUGUCUAUUUUACGUAUAGGACUGGUCAAUCUUUUUCUUUGUAUGUUUUGAGUGACUUUUAGAAUGCGUUUACCAACCAUUAUUAUAUCCAUACUCUGUUAUGUUUUGUUCUGGUAUUUUUAUGGAUUUUCAUUUAUAGGUUUAAGAAUUUAUUGACUGGUGUGUGGGUAUAGUAGGGAGGGGGUCUGUCUUUUUUCUAUAUAUGUAGUAAUCUAACCUUUAUGUUUUUGUGAAAUCCUACUCAGAGCAUUUUAUCUCAUUUCUCAUAGUUAUAGACAGGAAAUUAUUUCAUAUCCAGAUAGAGCCUCCGUUUAACCUAAGUAUUGGCUCCACAAGUCUUUUAAAUGGUAAACUCCUUGAAUUUAAAUUCAAUUAGUUUAUGUCACGAGUAGGUCCAGGUUUUCUGGGUCUGAAUUUUAAUAAUUUAGGGGAUUGUCUUUAAUGCAAGAGUACCAAAUUAGGUACAGGCAUAUGAAGGUGCAGAGACCUGAAAUCCAAGCUUCCUUAGCUUCCCAGUAAAUUCACCCUGGUUACAUUAUCAGAAUGCAUCUGUUACAUAAAACGAUGAGGAGCAGCCAUCUCCAUCCCUGGAGUGGUAUGACUUUCUUUUGUAUUCACCAGCUACCACAACUUCAGGAUUUUUUUCUUCCCUUGUUGUUUAAAGAGACAUUUAAGAGCAGACACAUACAUCAAGGUGGCUUUAAUGUUGGAAGCAGAGUUAGUCCAGUGGAGAAGUUCUUUCAGCAGGGUCUUUGCCACCUCUGCAUUGCUCAAAUGUGAUGUAUUUGAUCAGUGGACUAGCUGAGAACUUGGUAUAAUAAUGGGGGUUGUUAAUCUUGCAUGCCUUUGGAACCUGAAUUUACAGCUUUAACUUUGCAUAUCUGCUUGCUUUUGCAUUAGAGCUUGGUCAGCACUGUUGAGAGAUUUGCAAAUGCAACUAACAGGGCUUUCUUUUAGCAUCCUACCCUUUCAAAAAUCCAGGAGGCAAACAAUGAUCAAUGUUGUCAUAAGUAAUGCAGAGGAUGGCAAUAAUAAUAAUACCUGACUUUCACCAUAAGCCAUGUGCUGUGCGAAAUGCUUACCUGUAUUGUUUUACUUCAUCCUCAUCAUCCCCUAUAAGGCAGAUGCUAUUAUGACCCUCACUCUACAGAUGAGGAAGUUGAGGCUUAGAGAGAGGAUGCCUUACUCAAGGCCUCAGAAGGGGUACUUCAGCACCCCCCCACUUCCCUUCAGGAUCCUCUAAGGCCAGUGCUCUCAUUUGACAAAUGAAAGACAGAUUUGGAGAGACCUGAGAUCUUUUGGACAUCAGGUUUAUGUGUCAAGCAUAGUUUUAUUUAUUUUAUUUUAUUUUGUUAUUUUUUGAGAUGGAGUUUUGCUCUUGUUGCCCAGGCUGUAGUGCAAUGGCAUGAUCUUGGCUCACUGCAACCUCCGCCUCCCGGGUUCAAGCGAUUCUCCUGCCUCAGCCUCCCGAAUAGCUGGGAUUACAGGCAUGUACCACCACGCCUGGCUGAUUUUGUAUUUUUAGUAGAGACGGGUUUCUCCAUUUGGUCAGGCUGCUCUCAAACUCUCAACUUCAGGUGAUCUGCCCGCCUAGGCCUCCCAAAAGUGCUGGGAUUACAGGUGUGAGCCACCACGCCCAGCCAAGCAUAGUUUUAAAAACUUUGCUGGUCUUAUUUAAUUAAAUCCCUGUAAGAGUCCUGCAAGAUAAAUACUAUUAUUAUUCCUGUUUUACAGAUGAGAAAGCUGAGACACAAAAAUUUCCAAGGCCACAUAGCUACUAUGUGAAAGAUGUAGGAUAAAACCUUAGGCAGCCUGCCUCCAGAGCCAGGCUCCUACCCUCACUCUACAGCUGCCUUGCAGGGAGUACUGUUAAAGCUUAGUACAGUUACGACUUACUGCAUCACAUCUCUGAGCCUCCCAGAAAUAGAGAGAUACCAAGGCCUUUCAUUUAUAAUUUCUAAGUUAUUUUUUAUUUUUAUAGACAGGGUCUUCCACUGUCACUCAGGCUGGAGUGUAGUGGCACAAUCACAGCUCACUGUAGCCUUAACCCGUGGGCUCAAGUGACCCUCCCAUUUUGGCCUCCCAAAGUCCUAGGAUUACAGGCAUGAGCCAUGGUGCCCACCCUAUUUUUUUAAAUGAAGAAAUGCCUAAACUGUGUUACAAAAACUGUGGCAUGUUUAAAAUGUUUAAAUUUGACAAAUUAGGCCAGGCGCGGUGGCUGACGCCUGUAAUCUCAGCACUUUGGGAGGCUGAGGCGGGCAGAUCACAACAUCAGAAGUCCGAGACCAGCCUGGCCAACAUGGUGAAACCCUGUCUCUACUAAAAAUACAGAAAUUAGCCCGGGGUGGUGGCGUGCACCUGUAAUCCCAGUUGCUCAGGAUACUGAGGCAGGAGAAUUGCUUGAACCUGGGAGGUGGAGGUUGCGGUGAGCUGAGAUCACGCCAUUGCACUCCAGCCUGGGUGACAGAGCGAGACUCUGUCUCAAAAAAAAAAAAAAAAAAAAUUGACAAAUUAAUUCUCUUAAGAUUCAAAAAAAACAAUGCAAUACAAUUCUGCUAUUUGAAAGAUAAUUAUGAGAUUCAAAAGAAAUAUGAAUUCAUGGGGCUUUUACAGUUAAGGUGAUAUGGGAAUGAGACAUGAUUUAAAGUUAAUGAUGAAUAUCUUCUUUCACUCCUGUGUCUGUAGUUUUAGGCCGCUUCAUUUGGAGAACACACCAGAAGUCUUAACUUGAGGCUCUUUGAGAAUGAGAGAACAUAACGAAAUAAUGAGAUUUGGUGGUAUAUAGAAACAGCAGCCUUGUGCCUGACCUUUGUUUUUUCACUGUUGGUGGCUAAAAGAAUAAAUGUUUAUAGAUUAUACUGAAGUACUGAGCUUUGUUGUUUUUGGUAAAAUGAAGAGCCACUGUACGCUGAUUGAUAAGAGAUAGGCUUUGAUUUUAUAUUCUACUGUAUGUUUCAGUUAGUUUCUUUUUAAACAUUCUUUAACUUUUGAUUAUUUCCUUAUCAGACUUGAGUUUUCUAGGAAAGGAGUUUUUUUUUUUAAUCAGAGAAUAAAUUUCCAAGUCAUUGUCCCCGGAGGGAUAAAUUAAAAUGCAGGGCCUAUUUCCAACCGCAUUAGUGACUUCUCUGUAGCUUUAGGAAGAUCAAUUAACCUUUUACUCACUUCUUUGUCUGUACAAUAGGAAUGGCAGUGUUGACAUCAGAUUUUUCCAAAGUAUUUUUCAGAAACUUGGGUGAAAGGUAUUAAAACUACUGCCUGCAUUAUUCCUGGAUCCCCCUAGUAAUGGGCUCCAAUUACCAGUCACUUAUAAGAAUUUAUAGGUAAGACUCUUAUCAUAUGUUGUUAAUCACAACUUUCACAGUUGUGAUUUGGUGUUUUAAUUCAAAAGCUACUGUUUUGGAAGUGACUGCUUUCUUUGAGGGUUAGAAAACAUGCCCACAUUUCCAUACAAGUGUCACAUUCUUGUUAGCACAUCACCCAUCCAUCUCUUACAGGAUUAUGCAACUCAGUUCAUAGAUAUAAUCAGCUUUGUAUUUUCAUUCAAGGAUAACAAACUAGCAAGGUUGAAAUCUUGACUUGUCAUCGGAAUUGAAUUGCUCCCUGGAGCUGGGAGGGAAUGAGAUUGGUCCAGCUCUGUUCAGAAAUGGCAGUUAUCUUUAGAAUCUCAAUCGCCUGCUCUCCCUUUCUUCUUUCCAGUAUGGUGACUACGACCCCAGUGUUCACAAGCGGGGAUUUUUGGCCCAAGAGGAAUUGCUUCCAAAAAGGGUAAGAGAUUAAAUUCCCUUUUCAGGAAGACAUAGCAGAUAUGUGGUCUAAAAGAAAGCUAACCAAAGGACUUGAAGGAAUAUUGGAAGUACAUAGCAAUUUAAUUUUAAUAAAUAUUUUGUAAUCUCCAGUAAACAGUGUGGGAUCUCUGUUAAGAAUAUUAAAAAGCAAAGGUUUUUGGAGUUAGUUUGGGGUCACCAGGACUAGCAUGGCCUGUAAAUGUUUUUUCUAGCGUGGUUGUUUUUUCAGAUGCAGUUGAGCAUCAUUGAUUCCCAAAGAGGAGGCUGGAGCAGAGUGUAUUCAGCUUGGGGAAUUGAGCUGUUUGCAGUGGCGAGGGGCGGAUAGAGGAGAUGAGGUAGGGGUGGGCAUUGUGGUUUUUAAUCCUCAGUGUUGUUCAUCUUAUUCAUUAGCCACAGAAGCAGGCCCGCCCUCCCUUUUGCUCCUGCCGAUUUUACAGCCCUCACUCAUCUGUCACUGGGUAAUAAAGGCCCGUUUCUCACCUCUCACUCUCUUUACCUGUCCCUCGAUGGCUUCUGAGCAUGUGAAGGCCUGAGAUGAGUGAGCAUUGCUUCUGACUGAGCUCCGCUGUCAGAGGUGGUCUCUGUGAUGUAUCGCCCAGGCAGGGACAGGGGCACUGCCAGAUGAGGGUUGCACCUAGGUCUGAGUUAUCAUGCAGCUUUCUGAGUUGCUCCUCCAAUAGAAUGGUGCCUUAUUUACACGCCCUCUCUCUGUGUGACUAUCUCCCUGGGUGUAGCUUUUUAAAAAUAGCUUUACUGUUUUGUAAAAAUGAUGCAUAAUUAUAAAAGUGGCAAACAAUACCAAAUUUACUUCAUGUGUAGGUUUUUUAUUUUGCUCUAUUUUUUGGUAGGUAAUAAAUCUGUAUCAGAUGACUCCGGAAAUGUGGGAGGAGAGAAUUACUGCUUGGUACGCAGAGCACCGAGGCCGAGCCAGGUGAGGCCCAUUCAUUGUUGGUUUACAUUCCUUUAUGGGCUUUUUUUUUUUUUUUUGCCUUAAAGAACUGCAAAACUAGGACAUGCUUGUUAAACAAAAUGCAGUACUGAAGUCUAUAAAAGAAAAGGGGAGAGCUGGGGAGCUGGGAGUAACGUUGGUCUUCAGUUUUGUGUGUGUCCUUUUCUAGUACGUAUGACAUAAAGUAGGUAUGUGUACUGCCUGUCAAGAUAUAUAGACCUGUACUCACUGGUAAUUAAGUUUAAGAUUUUUUUUUUUUUUUGAGACAGAGUCUUGCUCUGUUGUCCAGGCUGAAAUGCAGUGGCGCCAUCUCAGCUCACUGCAGCCUUGACCUCCUGGGUUCAAGCAAACCUCCUGCCUCAGCACCCCCAGUAGCUGGCACUACAGGCACACGCCACCAUGCCCAGCUAGUUUUUCUAUUUUUAGUAGAGAUGGGGUUUCAACAUGUUACCCAGGCUGGUCUUCAACUCCUGGGCUCAAAGCAAUCUGCCCACCUCGGCCUCCCAAAGUGUUGGGAUUAGAGGCGUGAGCUGAGCCACUGUGCCUAGCCUGAAUUUUAAGAAUUCUAUUGUAUGGCUAUCCCAUUGCUUUUGCAUCCAUCCCUUUAUUGAUGGCAUUUGAGUAUCUGUAGGUUUUUCACUUUUACAAAAAUUUCUGCAGUGCACAAUCUUUUAUUUUUAUACAAUUGUAUGAGUAGUUCUGGGGAUAUAUUCUUUUUUUUUUUUUUUUUUUUUUUGAGACGGAGUCUCACUCAGUCACCCAGGCUGGAGUGCAGUGGCGCGAUCUCGGCUCACUGCAUCUCCGCCUCCCAGGUUCACGCCAUUCUCCUGCCUCAGCCUCCCGAGUAGCUGGGACUACAGGCACCCGCCACCACGCCUAGGCUAAUUUUUUGUGUUUUUAGUAGAGAUGGGGUUUCACUGUGUUAGCCGGGAUGGUCUCGAUCUCCUGACCUCGUGAUCUGCCUGCCUCGGCCUCCCAAAGUGCUGGGAUUACAGGCAUGAGCCACCGCGCCCAGCCAAUAUAUUCUUUAAAACAAGAGUUGUUGGGACAAAGGAUGUGAGCAUUUUGCAUUUUGCCAGGUACCACCAAAUUGUUCUCCAAAAAGGCUGUACCUGUUUAUACAUGCCUGUCGACAAGUGUUAUGAGAGUGUCCCACCCCCCACCCCCAGUCUAUCCUCAACAAUUGUUUUUAUCAGUCUAAUUUUUGUAAUCUAAAAAGUGAAAAGUUGUAUUAUGUUAGAAUUCCAUUCCCUUGAUUAGGAAUUGGUCAUGUUUUCAUUAGCCUUUAACAUUUUUUUCUCUUCUUCAAAUCAGUUUCCUAACACUUUUUUUUUUAAACUUAAGUGCAACAUGCAUAUGGAAAAGUAGACAAAUUAUAAGUAUACAACUUGAUCAAUUAUUGUAAGGUGAAAACACCAGAGGAAGAAAUAACCUGUGUCUCCCUACCCCCAAUUCCCCUUUCUUCCUCCCCAAAGGCAACCAGUCUCCUGAUUUUUAAUUCCAGAUUGGCGUUGCCCAUCUUAAACUUUGCAUUCUGUUUUUUGUGUCUCCUUUUACUCAGCAUCAUGUUGUCAGAUUGGGGUUUGUGGCAUGUGGCAAUAGUUUUCUCAUUUUCAUUGCUGUAUAGACUUCCACUGUAUUAGUAUAUUAAAAAUUAUUUAUUCAUUCUACUAAUGAUGGACAGUUAGGUUGUUGGGUUGUCCCCUGAGUUUUGCUAUUACAAUAAUGUCAAACAAUUUCCCAAAGUAAUUGUACCAAUUUACGUCAAUGUGCAUGAUUUCUGAUUUCUCCACCUUUUCACCAACACUUGGCGUUCUCUCAGGCUGGGUUUUUAAAAAUUCAUUGAGAGCAUUUGGAGAUUGGAGAGAGAAGGAAGAGGACAAGGUCAUAGGGAGACUUGAGUUAAAAUAUUUCAGUAUGAUACCUGUUUGGGAGUUUUCUGCAAGUUAUUGCUACUUCAAGAGCUUACUUUAAAUUAUAACUUAGAUGAAGGUGAUCUGACUUGGGUUUUACAACCCAGAUAACUCUUGCCCUAACCUCCAACAAUACUCAGGAAGCUUGCAGAGAGAGCUGUUUCAUUUCCAGAACCUUCCAGGUAAAGAAAGUACACAAAGGAAAAGCAAGAACUUAAAUAAAAUUCCAACACCCAAAUCUGUUUGAGGGUAGAAGAUAACAUACCACACACUCUUGUUGAAUUACUUGAGAUGAGUUUACUGUUUACCAAGGGCAAGGUGGGAAACUAAGGCCAAGAAACUCCGUGAUGAGUCUGUUCUCUGACUAUCUUUUGAUGGGGAUGGGAAAUUCUGCUUGACCUCAGUGUGUUUAAUAGACUCAGGGCCGGGCAGAGCUUUGCUGGUGUCUGCUGUGGCUUUUGUCUUCUGGCAGCGACGUGGCUCUAGAGGAAUGGCAGGGUCAGAAUGCUUGAUUUGGUGCCCACCCGCUCUCCACCCAUCUCACUUAGCUCCAAUGACAGUGUCUUCCGUUCUCCCCACAGGGAUGAAGCUGAAAUGGAAUAUCUGAAGAUAGCUCAGGACCUGGAGAUGUACGGUGUGAACUACUUUGCAAUCCGGGUGUGUUGAAACCUCUCUGAGCUCCUUGUGUAGUAGACAGAGACUGAGUGAGGGCCAGACUGCUAAAAUGGUUACUUCUUCAUUCCAAGGCGAUAGACUCUUUUAUGGUUCUGUGGUAAAGAAGGAAAGAGGAAGGAAAGAGAGGUCUUAGUGCCUAACUUUCUAUUUUUGGACUUCAAUUAGAUCAUAGGUAAUUAAGUGUCACUUGAGCCUUGGGGGACUUGGACCUGGUUCUGCUCUCAGCAGAAACCUGUUUGAAUGCUCUGAGUGUAAGAUUUGAUUAUUUCUGGCUCUGUGAGAUCUCCGUCCACAGGGAGCACUUGUAAGUACUUCUCCCCCCAACACACACCCCACCCCCAUCCCCACCCCCACCCCCACCCCAGGCACUAGUAGAGUAGAUCUGCCUUUAUAGAUUACUGAUUUGUUUGGGAUUCUCACUAUGAGGCUAAUUGGUUUUCUAUUCAGACUAUUAAUAGUCUGCUGUCUGCUGGGAACCCACUGCUUCUGCAGGGAGAGGCAUUUGUGUGCAGCCCAGAUCUGGGCCUUUAGAAUGUCUUUCUCCUGUGGGUCAGUAUCUGGAUGCAGUGUAUAGGCAGCUUCUUACAAAGGGAUGCAUGCGAUUUGCCAAAGCAUUUCACUACGGACUCCAAACUGCAGAUGAGUAGAUGUUAAAACAAUGAGGCGGGUCCACCUUUAUUUUCAUAGUCAUGCUUUGCUUUCCCUUAUUGGGUUCCUACAGUUGUUGUAUUAAAUUCAGGUAAAUUGAAACAUAUUUUAAAUAUUCUAGGAUAGCUUUCUACUUCAUUUGUAUUUUGUAAAUACAGAUUUGUAUGGAUUACACUGCAUAAGAAAAUAAGGCACACUUAAAGUGCCUAAAAGAUGCUCCAUAAUAGUACAGGAAGUUCUUUUCUAAAGUUCUGUCAGUUUGUAUUUGCUAAUUGCUUGGUUUCUUUAAGGUCAAACUAAUGUAACACAUUUCUGUGGUUUUGUCAACUCAACUCCUCUUGCCCCAUGUUCUGGCCACCUAGAUUCUAGAAAACUAAAGUUUUAUAAUCCUCAGAAAACAGUUUUUUUGGUUUUUAAAAAUCUUUUUUGUUUUUUAGAGGUGGAGUUUUGCUAUAUCGCCCAGGCCUGCUAGGCUCAAGUGAUCCUUCCACCCCAGCCUUCCAAGUAGCUGGGGAGUAUCACUGUGCCUGGCUGAAAAGGUUUCUUAUUAGGGAAUAUUUCUACAUCAGUCAGACUAAUGGAUACUGUUUUUUGUGUGUGUUUCCUAUAUUGAGCAAUAGACAAAGCUACUGGCUAUCUUAGUGUCUUUUAUGUUAAAUUUCCUGAAAUCUCACCAUUAACUAAGGAAGAUGUAUGCUUAAAACAGUUUAAAAGGGGCUGCUUGAGUCCUCACCUCUCUCUCUGUUUAAUCUCUAGGAGUGUUGGAGUCAUAAUGGUAGGAGGCAGAAGGCUGAAUCUUUUUUUAAAAAUUUAAACUAAAUAGUCAGAAACUAUUUUCUGACUAUUGAAACACAAUGAAACAUCUCAUUUUCCAAAAUGUACUGCAGAUGUAAAAGUACAAAGCCUCACUUCUAUUAAUGCAGUAGCUUUCAUGGCUUUGCUGACGAGCAGAAGAGUCUCUCAUGGUUUGGUGAUAGCACCUGACUUCAGGAUGUUAGGAGUAAAAAGAUUUAUGCUGGAGUACUCACUCCUCAGUCUGAUAUCUGCUGUUAGAUGGGUACUUCUCUUCACAGUCCCAGUACCUUCUCAGUUUGCAGACCUGUUUUUCUGCCCUUGAGUCUUGGUUCAGUUUCCAUUAUCGUCAAGGGGUCAGGAGCUGUAGUAUCCUUGUGCAGCGAGUUUCCUUCCACUCCAAAUGAGGGCUAGACCACAGCACUGGCGGGUGGACCUGCACGUGAAGAUACAGCCACUCAGUCCGUCGCAGGUUCAGUGCUGUGGGAGCCCAGGGCACCCGCCGCGGGCUGCUCUGACUGCUGGCCAGGACCGCUGUCAGGGGCAGAGCAUAAGUACGGCUUUUAGACAACUUUGUUGAUGAAUAGAAUUCUUUUUGAUAUGUAUUUCCCAUCAUGCAAUUAUUAAAAAUUUCAAACUUACAGGAAAACUGAAAGAAUUUUUCAGUGAAUACCCAUAUAUAUGCACAAUCUAGAUUCUACAGUUAACAUUUUACCAGACUUGCUUUAUCACAUGAAGACUACAUUUUAUCAUAAAAUGAGACCAUCCAGCCCCAGGCACUGAAAAUUUUCUUCCUAGUAGUCCAACAAUGGUUUCUUUAAAUAUAAGAAAUCAUUAAACCUAUGGGUUUUUUUUGUUUUGUUUUUUAACGAAGUCUCUCUUUGUCGACCAGGCUGGAGUGCCGGGGCACCAUCUCAGCUCACUGCAGCCUUCUGGGUUCAACCAGUUCUCCUGCUCAGCCUCCUGAGUAGCUGGGAUUACAGGCGCGUGCCACCAUGCCCGGCUAAUUUUUUUGUGUGUAUUUUUAGUAGAGAUGGGGUUUCACCAUGCUGGCCAGGCUGGUCUUGAACUCCUGACCUCGUGAACCGCCCGCCUCGGCCUCCCAAAGUGCUGGGAUUACAGGCAUGAGCCACUGCUCCCCGCCUAAACCUAUGGGCUUUAAUUCUAUACCUAUGAUAGCCUGCUUAUUUAACCAGAGGGAACAACACUUAUGUUACUCUUCCUUUAGCCAUCGAGCCAGUGACAGAAGCCCUCAGUGAUUGUUCUGGGGGACCCAGAAGUCACAAGAAUGGAACAGUUUUGCUUCUACCUGCCCCAAUUCAGAAAGCUGAAAUCUUCUUGGUUUAUAAGACAGCUGUGACUUCUGUUGGGACCUGCUGAAACUUGUCACAUGUGACAGUGUGUGCCAGAUUCUUUGGAAGGUUGAAUAAAAUUUUGAGCCUCAGCUGGCGCUUACAGUAGCUGUUCUUAUUGGAUCCACAGAAUAAAAAGGGCACAGAGCUGCUGCUUGGAGUGGAUGCCCUGGGGCUUCACAUUUAUGACCCUGAGAACAGACUGACCCCCAAGAUCUCCUUCCCGUGGAAUGAAAUCCGAAACAUCUCGUACAGUGACAAGGAGGUAGGACAUGUGUGUACUGCAGAUGGGUCCAGCAGAUCUUUCCCUGUCUGCCCCCCUCACUGGAGCCUCCCCAGCCAGGGCAUCUCCUUGUUAUUCAUAGAGUCCUUUAAUUCCCAGGCUUUGAGGGUGUGGUUGUUGAUUUUCGAAGUCUUUACAGAACAGUAUUGGCAUCAAUAACCCCACUAUGACUAAUAGGAAACUGGGAAGCUCAACUGGCCAGGGAGAAACCCCAAAGAAUAGUGAACAAAAACAGUAACAUUUUCUUAUUACUUGGCUUUCUAUUUUUGUCGAUACAUUCUCUUUGUAUGUUUUCUUUUCUUUUUUAGAGACAGGAUUUCAUUAUGCAUGCCCAGACUGGAUUUGAAUCCUGGGCUCAAGCAAUCCUUCCACCUCAGCCUCCUGAGUAGCUACUACAGGUGUGCGCCACAGCACCUGGCUUAAAUUCUCUUCGUAUUUUAAGUGUGGUCUUUAUUGAGCUUUCUUUCUGUGUCCGGUGCUUGAUACAUGUGGCAGAGAAAUACAUAUACACACAUAUACACAUAUGGACAUAUAUGUGUUUUGUGUGUGUAUCUCUCAGUAAUUAUAUAAAUAAGUAUAUUAGGUUAAUAUGCUUACAAGAAUUCCAAAAUAAUUAAGGUGGAAUAACUUAGAUAAAUGCUCUUAGAAUUUAAAUAUUUCCAUAUAGGGUGGUGACUUUUACCAAAAAGGUCCCAUAAUGUAUAAUCUUAUGUUUACUCAUCCAUCCAUUCAUUCAUUCACUCAUCCAUUCAUUCAUUCUUCAUUCAUUUUAUUUUAUUAUUAUCAUUUUUUGAGACAGGCUCUCAUUCUGUCACCGAGGCUGGAAUGCAGUGGCACAUGAUCACGGCUCACUGCAGCCUUGACCUCCCUGGGCUCAGGUGAUCCUCUCACCUCAGCCUCCCAGGUAACAGACUACAGGCGUGUGCCACCACAUCUGGCUAAUUUUUUGUAGAGAUGGGGUUUUGCCACAUUGCCCACCAGGCUGGUCUUGAACUUCUGGGCUUGAGCAAUCCUCCCACCUCAGCCUCCCAAAGUGCUGGAAUUACAGGUGUGAGCCACUGUGCUCAGCAGUUCUUCAUUAAUUUUAAAGGAAUUAUUGAGCAUCUGCUUUGUGUUAGAUUUCAUGGGGGAAACAAAGAUGUAGAAAAUCCAGUCUUAGCAUUCAAGGAAGUCAAGUAACUACUCACCUGCUAUAAUAAAUAAGUGCCGUGGAAGAGACAUGAUGACAACAAAUGUAGUCUUCCACAUACAAGCACAUUCACCCUGACCGUCUGAAUUUAAUCUCUAUAAGAACACUGCUGUAAAGGCAGGGGCUGUGUUGUCAAUAUCUCUGUGUCACAUCAGGAAGCAGAGACACAGAAGGAUCAAGUGACCUGUGUCUGAGUGAAGUAGCAGAGAUUAGGAGCCAGAGUUGCUGAUGCCACAGCCCCCGCCUUUCAGGGAGGCCCAGAGGCUGAGUCCUGAGAGCACAGGGGCACUGGGGAGAGGGAGGCUCCACUCAGUGACCUCCUGGUACCUGCACAGCCAGGACACAGACUAGAGAGUGAAGAACAGGAACAGCUUAUGUUGCUGCCUGCAGAGCCCCAAACCUGAGCAUAUUUCCUGUUUUCUCUUUUUCAUGGCAACUCAAGGAAGGGAACACCAGGCCCCUGGUUUCCAGUAUAUGGUUGGGAUCUACUCAGCCAUGCUUGAUAAGACAGACUGAGCCCCUUAAUUCAAAACAUUCUGACUUUGAAGUUUUUGUUAGUAGUUAGCCCAGGAGAUAAGCAGUUAGGUAUUUCUUUUUUAAAGUACUUAAAUUGAAAGUUCCACAUGACAUAAAGCUGUAUGUGUGCCACCGUAUGGUAGUUUUUCAUCUCCCAAUUUCAUAAAGUCUGUUUAUUGCACGUCCACACAUUUGUGUGCUAAAGGCUCCCUAAACACCCGUUCUUCAAAGAAGCCAAGGAUUGAAAUCUCCCAUACUAUGGCCUGACACAGUAAACUCUAAUAUGCCCUCUCCGGGGGACAGGCGCCAUCAUGUUCCAUCAUGUCAAUAACUCAUGCAGUAAGCAGACCCCAAGCUGACUUGACAUAAAAGAAGUAGUCUUGGUAGUUAUGCAUGACAGCCAUGCUGUCAAAACAGAAAUGUUAGUUUAUUUUAAAUGAUCCAUUGAUUCUUUGUGUACGCCCUGGCAUGGUGCAGAGCCUGCGGUUUCCCCACUACUUGUGGUUUCCCAAUGACAGCUCCAGGGUUUGACAGCAAAGCCAAAAAUAAGCUCACAAAAUUCAUGAAUAGCAGCCUACACAAGAGCAACACUGCUUCUAAGUUAACUUGGCUGAAAGCUAAACAAAGGAUCAUUUUCUGUCCUCAGUGUACUAACCCCUUCUUGGGCAAUAUAACGUGUGAAAGAAAUAUAUCUUCCCAAACAUAUUUAUCUGCUUAGCAAGUCUUUCUUGGGAAUGGAUAUCCAUUUUGUAAGUGCAUCUUGGAAAUCUAGGAUCUGUUUGGUCUUAUCGGGAGUGGUUGAGAGCAGCAGCCAUUUGUUCCUUGCAGGCUUUCCUGCUAGUGGUCUAACCCUAGGUUCUCCUACCAAGCCACCACCCUGUCUUUAUCAUUCAUCUUUCUCUCCAUUUUGAUUUCAGCAUCAAGAACUGUUUUCCCUUCUACUAUAGUCCAUUUUUUCCCCAUUUGAUUCUAUUAACAGCUUUUACCAAAUUAUUCCCAUGUUCAGAAACCUGUGGUGAGCUCAGGUAUCCUGUCACAUCAAACCUAAACCCUUCUUUUUUUUGAGAUAGGGGUCUGCUCUGUUGCCCAGCCUGGAGUGCAGUUGUGCAAUUACAGCUCACUGCAGCCUCAAACUCUUGGCCUCAAGCGAUCCUCCUGCUUUGGCCUUCCAAAGUGUUGGGAUUACGGGUGUGAGCCACCAUAUCUGGCCGCCUCUGACUUUUAUUCUCACUGCCAGCCCCUACACCCACCCCUUCCUCCCUCUCAGGCUAAACCUAUUAUAUCAUCUUAGUCACCAAAAAGCUAAUACCACACACACACACACACACACACACACACACACACAGCUCAUUUCCCUGUCUCUACCUUAUUUCUGGUUUUGCCCUGUGCAGAAUGCCCCUUCACCUGCCUUUUAGCUACCCUGUUGGAUUGUUCUUCUAAGAUCAGCUUCACUCUCUCUUGCUUAUGGUGGAUCUACUCUGAACCUCCACAUAUUUGUGAUUUGUACCACCCAGUGAAGCACUAAUAUUUGAUGUGAUUUCUUGAGUAAUUGGCUGUUGUUAGCCUAGUUCCAACUAGAUGGUGAGCUUCAUGAAGGUGGGCCCAUGCCCUCGACUACAGUAGCCCUCCAGUGUUGGCCUCAGGGUUGGGCCCAUUAAGGAUGCUUAUUUUAGGUUGUCAAGAAUCCCUUCCCACACUCAUGCCUAAGAUGGUCUAGAGAGCGUACCUUUAGGGUCCUGAGCUUCCACAGCCCGAGACUUGGUGCUCCUAAUUCCCUGAGGUUUAGUGCCUGGAUACUGGGAAGCCAGGACAAGGCAUAACUUCAUGCUGGUCUGUGGCCAGUGUGGUUGCGCAUUUGUGGAAUUUCCAAUUGCUGGUAACAUUCCAGGCUGUCGGACUGAAACUGUGUUCUGCUUCAUUCUUCCAGUUUACUAUUAAACCACUGGAUAAGAAAAUUGAUGUCUUCAAGUUUAACUCCUCAAAGCUUCGUGUUAAUAAGCUGGUAAGUUGAGAUCCUGGUUUUCAUUACUGAUAAUGGUAGCUUUUCUGAGAAUUGAAUACUUCUUUUUAAAGGAUAUCAGAGUGACAUCUUGUGAAGUAUAGAAUGGUAUCUCACUUGGCGCAUACUUUCUGUUUAGCUUAAAGAGUUAAAACUAAAUUAUAUCAUGAAGAAGUUUUUUUUUUUGUUUUUUUUUUGAGACAGAGUCUCGCUCUGUCGCCCAGGCUGGAGUGCAGUGGCAGUGCCAUCUCGGCUCACUGCAACGUCCGCCUCCCAGAUUCAAGAGAUUCUCCUGGCUCAGCCUCCCAAGUAGCUGGGAUUACAGGCAUGAGACACCAUGCCCAGCUAAUUUUUGUAUUUUCAGUAGAGACGGGGUUUCACCAUAUUGGUAAGGCUGGUCUCGAACUCCUGACCUCAGGUGACCCAUCCGCCUGGGCUUCCCAAAGUGCUGGGAUUACAGUCAUGACCCACUGCGCCCAGCCGAUGAGGAAUUUUUAAAAAGGAUUUUUAAUGCAGUAUUUCAUACAUAUAAAAGGAUAAGUGUAACAUAUGAAUUAUAAAGAAUAACAAAAGUGAAUAGCUGUGUACCCACAACCCCACUUUAAGAAAUAGCACAGUCCUGGCCGGGUGCGGUGGCUUACGCCUGUAAUCCCAGCACUUUGGGUGGCCGAGACGGGUGGAUCACAAGGUCAGGAAAAAAAAAAAAAAAGAAAAAGAAAAAGGAAAAAAGAAAUAGCACAGUCCCAAUACUGUUGAGACCCUUCAUGUUAACACCCUGCUGGUCUCUCCUUUCCCUCUCCCCAAGGGUGAUCACUGUUUUGAGUUGAGUAUUCAUCAUCCUCUUGCUUUUCAACAGAAUUUUAUUUCAUAUAUGGCAAAAGAAAAAUACCAUUCAAUGUCAUAUGUUUAUGAAAUUUAUCUAAAUGCUGUCAAGUAUAUAUAUUCUUUUGUCAUUUUCCUUUUCCUUUUUCAUUAUUUUUUUGAGAUAUAUCUUUGUUGAUGCUUAAAGAUAGUCUGUUCAUUCUCACCUCUGUAGCACUCUGUUAUAUAUUUUUCUGAUUCUUCUGUUAAUGGAUAAUUAAGUGCUUUUUACUUCUAUACUUUUUUUUUUGAAAUGGGGUCUCACUCUGUUGCCCAGGCACAAUCUCGGCUCACUGCAACCUCCGCCUCCCGGAUUUAAGCAAUUCUCCUGCCUCAGCCUCCUGAGUAGCUGGGAUUACAGGCGGCCACUACCACGCCCGGCUAAUUUUUGUAUUUUUAGUAGAGAUGGUGUUUCACCAUGUUGGUCAGGCUGGUCUCGAACUCCUGACCUUGUGAUCUGCCCACCUUGGCCUCCCAAAGUGCUGGGAUUACAGGCGUGAGCCACUGCACCCAGCCACUUCUAUACUGUUUUAACAGGCUGUUAUGAAAACUUUUGUAUCUGCCUCCUGGUGCACAUAGGCAAUAGUUUCUUUGGAGUCUUGAGUAUACUGGGCUAGGUGGGGUGGCUCACGCCUGUAAUCUCAGCACUUGGAGAGGUCAAGGCAGGAUAACUGUUUGAGGCCAGGAGUUCGAGACCAACCUGGGCAACAUAGCAAGACCCUGUCUCCAAAAAAAUGAAAAUAAAUAAAAUUUUUAAAUAAUAAAAAAGAGGGCCAGGCACAGUGGCUCAACUCCUGUAAUCCCAGCACUUUGGGAGGCUGAGGCAGGCGGAUCACCUGAGGUCAGGAGUUCAAGACCAGCCUGACCAACAUGGAGAAAUCCUGUCUCUACUAAAAAUACAAAAUUAGCUGGGCGUGGUGGCGCAUGCCUAUAAAUCCCAGCUACUUAGGAGGCUGAGGCAGGAGAUCGCUUGAACCCAGGAGGUGGAGGUUGCAGUGAGCCGAGAUCAUGCCAUUGCACUCCAGCCUGGGCAACAAGAGUAAAACUUCGUCUCCAAAAAAAAAAUAAAUACAUAAAAAUAAAUCAAAAAUAGAGCUUAGAGUAUAUACACAGGAGUAGAAGUACAGGGCUUGGUAUAUGUUUAAAUUUCAAAAUUAUGACACAUUGUUUUCUAAAGAAGGUGAAUCGAUUUUUACAGACCCAACAGUAGUGGGUGAAGUUUGUUUUUUGCUAUCCUUAAUACUUGUAUUAUCAGCCUUUUAAAAUUUUUGCCAAUCUUGUGCAUCUAAAAUGGUAUCUCAUUAUCAAAUGAACUUUUUUUUUUUGAGAUUUUGAGAUAGGGUCUCACUCUGUUGCCCAGGCUGAAAUGUAAUGACACGAUCAUGUCUCACUGCAGCAUGGACCUGCCCAGGCUCAGUGAUCCUCCCACCUCACCCUCCCCAGUAGCUGGGACUACAGACACACACCACCAUGCCCAGCUAAUUUUUUGUAUUUUUUUUAUAGAGACAAAGUUUUGCCAUGUUGUCCAGGCUUGUCUUAAACUCCUGGGCUCAAGCAAUCUGCCUGCCUCCCCUUCCCAAAGUGCUAGGAUUACACUUCCCAAAGUGCUGAGCCACCAGGUCUGGCCAAAUGUUUUGAGUUUUUUGUGGAGAUGGCGUCUCACUAUGUCACCCAGGCUGGUCUUGAACUCCUGGGCUCAAGGAUCCUCUCACCUUGGCCUCCGAAAGUGCUGGGAUUACAGGUGUGAGCUACUGCACCUAGCCUGUUUUCUUUAUUGGCUAUAUCUUCCAGUUUGUUGCUCUUUUUCUUUUUUUAUGUCUUGACAAUAAGAAUUUUUAAUUUUAAUGUAGACAAAUAUAUACAUUUUUUCCUUAAUCACUUUUUGUGUCUUACUUGGCAUCUUCUCUUAUCCUAUGAUCAUAAAGAUAUUCUUCUAUAUUGUCUUCUAAAAGUUUCAAGGGCUUAAUCUUUGCAUUUAAGUAUUUAAUCCUUCUGGAGUUGAUUUUUGUGUAAGGUGUAAGGGAGGGAUACAACUUAUUUUUUUCCACAUGCAUAACCUGUUGCCUCAGCCCAGCUUACUGAACGAGCUUUCCUAU
rnacentral:lncRNA from 1 species